rnacentral:lncRNA from 1 species
CAUCGUCUCAAAGCUCUCCACACUCAUCAUUUCCCUCAAAACUAGUUAUUAAUCCUCUUUGACAAAACCAUGGGCAACAUUUUCUCCAUUUCAAUCUCCGUUGACCACCUUAUCUCUAGUUGCUGGAAUCGCACUACUGAACAUGCAAAUUACCUGUGCAAACUCCCAGAAAAUCUGGUAGCUCUGGGAACUGCUUGUGAAAGAUUGAGGGAGUUCAGGAACGAUGUGAUGAGGAGGGUGGAUAUCGCUGAGAGGGAACAAAUGCAGCGGCUCGACCAAGUACAAGGGUGGCUUUCAAGGGUUGAAACUCUGGAAACUCAAGUCACUCAACUGAUUGGAGAUGGCACCGAGGAGGUUGAGAAGAAAUGUAUGGGUGGUUGCUGUCCUAGGAAUUGCAGGACCAGAUACAAGUUGGGGAAGAGAGUAGCUAGAAAGUUGAAAGAAGUGGACAUUCUAAUGAGCCAAAGACCUUCGGAUGCGGUGGCUGAGAGGUUACCUUCACCUCGCCUAGGUGAAAGGCCUAAUCAAGCAACUGUCGGCAUGAAUUUCAGAAUUGGUAAGGUUUGGAGCAGCCUUCAUCAAGAACAAGUGGGAAUUAUCGGCCUAUAUGGAUUAGGAGGAGUUGGGAAAACCACCCUCUUAACCCAAAUCAAUAAUGCUUUUACCAAAAGAACAGAUGAUUUUGAUUUUGUGAUCUGGUCAACAGUUUCCAAAAAUGUAAACCUUGAAAACAUUCAGGACGACAUCUGGAAGACGAUAGGGUUUUGUGAUGAUAAAUGGAAAAGCAAAAGUCGAGAUGAGAAAGCUAAGAGCAUCUGGAGAGUCCUGAGCGAAAAGAGGUUCGUGCUGUUGCUAGAUGAUUUAUGGGAGUGGUUGGAUUUAUCAGACGUCGGAGUCCCAUUCCAAAAUAAGAAAAAUAAGAUAGUAUUCACCACUCGAUCAGAAGAGGUGUGCGCUCAAAUGGAAGCGGAUAAGAAGAUCAAAGUGGAAUGCCUAACAUGGACAGAAUCCUGGGAAUUGUUUCGAAUGAAGCUUGGAGAAGACACUCUCGAUUUCCAUCCUGAGAUACCGGAGCUCGCUCAAGCCGUCGCACAAGAGUGUUGUGGUUUGCCACUUGUGCUAACUACCAUCGGCAGGGCCAUGGCUUGUAAGAAGACGCCGCAGGAAUGGAAAUAUGCAUUUAAAGUGUUACAAAGCUCUGCCUCAAAAUUUCCAGGUAUGAGUGACAGAGUGUUCCCUCUUUUAAAAUACAGUUAUGAUUGCUUACCCACCGAAGUUGUCAGAUCUUGCUUCUUGUAUUGUUCUCUAUUUCCAGAAGAUUAUCAGAUACCAAAAAUAGCUAUGAUAAAGCGUUGGUUUUGUGAAGGCCUUUUAGACGAAUUUGAUGACAUGAAGGGAGCAGAAAACCAGGGUUACAACAUUAUUGGCACUCUGAUUCAUGCAUGUCUAUUAGAAGAAGGUGAUGUUGAUUAUGUAGUAAAACUGCAUGAUGUAAUCCGUGAUAUGGCAUUGUGGAUAGCUUGUGAAACAGGGAAGGAGCAGGACAAGUUCUUGGUGCAGGCCUCCAGUGGGUUAACUGAAGCUCCUGAAGUUGCUAGAUGGAUGGGACCAAAAAGGAUUUCACUUAUCGGUAACCAAAUUGAGAAACUAACAGGGUCUCCUAAUUGCCCCAAUCUCUCAACUUUGUUUCUUCAGGAUAAUAGUUUGAAGAUGAUCACUGAUAGUUUCUUCCAGUUUAUGCCAAAUCUAAGAGUUUUAGACUUGUCAAGGAAUGCUAUGACUGAAUUACCACAGGGAAUCUCUAAUUUGGUUUCAUUACAGUAUCUCAACCUAUCACAAACUAACAUUAAAGAGUUGCCAAUUGAGUUGAAGAACCUGGGUAAAUUGAAAUUUUUGUUGUUGCAUCGCAUGAGACUUUCUUCAAUUCCAGAGCAGUUGAUAUCAAGUCUUUCAAUGUUGCAAGUGAUUGAUAUGUUCAACUGUGGAAUUUGUGAUGGUGAUGAAGCCUUGGUUGAGGAAUUGGAGUCCUUAAAGUACUUGCAUGAUUUAGGUGUCACUAUAACAAGUGCCUCUGCUUUCAAAAGGCUUCUAAGCUCUGACAAGCUAAAAAGUUGCAUUUCCGGUGUAUGCCUCGAGAAUUUCAAUGGUUCAAGCUCUCUCAAUUUAACAUCUCUCUGCAAUGUAAAGCGUCUCCGUAACCUCUUUAUCUCAAACUGUGGCUCGUCGGAAGAUUUGGAGAUCGAUUGGGCUUGGGAAGGAAAGGAAACAACAGAAUCUAAUUACCUUAACUCAAAGGUCAGUUCCCACAGCAGUUUCCACAACCUUUCGUGGCUAAGAGUCAAAAGGUGUUCGAGGUUGAAGGAUCUAACAUGGCUUGUUUUUGCUCCAAACCUUAAAGUUCUUUUAAUAACUAGUUGUGAUCAAAUGCAAGAAAUAAUAGGUACCGGUAAAUGUGGUGAAUCUACAGAGAAUGGCGAAAACCUGAGUCCAUUUGUCAAACUCCAAGUACUUACGUUAGAAGAUCUACCACAAUUGAAGAGCAUAUUUUGGAAAGCCCUGCCAUUUAUCUACUUAAAUACAAUCUAUGUAGAUAGUUGUCCACUUCUAAAGAAGCUGCCACUCGACGCCAACAGUGCCAAGGAACAUCGGAUUGUCAUUUCCGGACAAACCGAGUGGUUUAAUGAACUAGACUGGGAGAAUGAGGCAACUCACAACGCUUUUCUUCCAUGUUUCGUACCUAUUGAAGAAUAAGGGCCUGCAGCAAUCUCAGAGAGGCUACAAUGCGAUUCUCGGUGAGACCCUUUUCACAAUUAACUAUCAUUUGAUCCUGAAUAGGUAUUGGUCCAAAUAAAGCAUUCAAUUAUAGCAUCUUUUCAUGGUCGUAUACCUCCCACGUACUGCUGAUACACUUAAAAAAAUGCUAUUCCAUUUCAAACAUGUAAGGCAAUUGAUUGCGGGUUUACAAGGAGUCAUCUUGUUAUUGGAAUUCAAAAUAUACAACUUUUAUGGUUAUGUUUUCUUCUUAAAAAGUAUUAAUAAAAGAAAAUAAAUAUUAAUGAAAAUGAUUUUUUCAUAUUAUUAUAUUAUCAAAAAUAUAAAAGAAAAUAAAAUUAGUUUGAAAUUUACAUAUUUUUUAAAUUGUUUAAUUUUUAUAUUGAAGAGUUAAAAUAAAUAAAACAAGUUAGAAAUAGCAUAUAAAAGUAAUCUAUUAAUUUUAAAUUUAUUUUUUAAUUUUUUUCACUUUUUUUUCCUUGUAUCUUUCCUUUCUAUUUUCUUUUCAUUACAAUUUUUCUCAAAUUUUCCAAGAACCAAACAUAACCUACAUAUAAUGAUCAAAUAUAAUCUUACAAACCAACCCAUAUAAAAAUUUAAGUCCAUUCUUGUGGCUUUUCUAAUUUGGUUUAAUAAGUCAAUAGUAUAUAUUCUUAUACAAUCUUAUUUUGUUUAGUUGCAGAAUAUAACCUCAUAUGCCAUAAAUGCUUCCGCAAUCUUCAGUUAAUGAGAAUCCAUUGUUUUCCAAGGUGAAGGAUAUGGAUGGCUUAAUUUUCAUGCCAACUUUUCAGUAUGUUGAUGACAUUGUAGGCUACCGAAAUGGAACAUAUAAUUGCUUAUAUAUGUGAGGUAAACAAUUGGUUUAUGUAUGUUGUUUCAUAGUGUUUGUGUGCAUAUGUUGUUUCUCUUUGAAUUGCAAUAUUACAUUUUUUGUAUUCUAAGGAUUGUGAGAUGCAUUUUAUGAUUUGUGUAAAAAUUUUGAGUUGGAUGGCUUUCCUUAAUUGCUUUACUUCAAUUGAAGAGCAUGUACAUAAUAUCUUUGAUUGGAAACAAUCUAAUGUAUAAUUUAAAAAAAUAAUCAUAUUUUCAAAUAGAAAAGAUAGAUGAGUUAGGGUACUCCUAGAUCAACUAGGAAUUGUAUCUUUGUUUAUGGAGAAGCAAGCAUUCUUGAGAAAAAAAAUCAAGUCCCUCUUUGUACAAAAAUUUUAGGGGAGAACUUGCCCAAGUCAUGGGUAGACCAUAAUUGGGGCACCUUAGCUAAGGGUCCCAUUUGGUUCCCUAUCUGUGUUUAUCAAAUGUGCCUUUUCAUAAUUGUAAUGGGAAUGGAGUGUGGGAUUUAUAUAACAUUAAAGCAUGUAUUCCUUAAUUUUGCAAUAUGUUAAAGAGGAUGAAACAUUUUUUAUUUGUUGCAAUUCAAGAGCAUGUACUAAAAUGCUCUCUCCAUGUGUUCAAAAUAGAAGAACUCAUUUAUCUUAUGCCCUAUAAAACUUUUUUCAAAAUUUUGAGAAAGUGAAAAAUUUUCACUUCUUGAAAUUUUUAAAUUUUUUUUAUAAAGUGUUUUCAAGCAUAUAAGGUAUUUACUUGUUUUUGUAUAAUAAUUCUUGUAUUUUAUAUAAGACUUCCUAUUUUAAAAAUAAAAAAUAGAAUAUGUAUCCAACCAAGUGAUUCUCUUAACAAAAGUACUAUAAAUAAAAAUACUUUAACGAGAGUCACUCCCAAACAUGUUCUAAGUUAUAUUUUCUAAUGGACUAGCUUUUCUAUCAAAAAAGUUAUUGAGUAGACAAUAAUUUAUAAAAUGCAAAACAUUUUUACUCUAUGGUAAUUUUUAUUUAUCUUUUUCUGUUUAAUAUCCACCUCUCAAUAUCUUGGUAUUUUAAACGAAGGAUAUAAUUUUAUUAGUUGUGCACAUGACAUUAUCUUAUAUAUCCAUGUAAGGUUUUUUCUAAAAUAAGUAAUUAAAAAUUUCAUUAUUAAAAAAAAUAGAAUCAAUAAUAUCUUAUUUUUAUAUAAUACCAAAAUUAACAAAUUUCUUACCAUUUAUGGUUCAUAUAACAAGAAAUAAAUAAGUAAAUGUGUGAAACUAAUAAAAAUAAUUGUUAAUUUAUGGUAAUUAUUUGGAAUAUAUUAAUAUUUAACCGAUGGAGCAUUAGCUUAGCUUAGUUAGAUCAUUUUACCCAACAUAAGUUUUUUAUUUAUUAUUUUAACAUACUAUCAAAUCACUUUUUUUUUUGUUUAUAUUCAAAUAGUAAGUUAUUCUAUUUUAAACUAUUUCUAAUGUAACCACUAUUUAAAAACACUUUUAAAAAUCUCAAAAAAUAACUUGAGGUGAUUUGUAAACAAUCACUUGAUAUGAUUUUCUUAAAAAUCAUUUUUUAAUAAAAUAAUAUGUUACAAAAAAAAAAAUACUAUCAAAACAUUUUUUUUAAUUUAUAUUUAUAGUUAUGGAUAUGCUUCCUAUCUAUAUACAAAAUAUAAGAACUCUAAUGUAUAAAACAAAAUUUUUAUCUUGUGUCUUUAAAACUUUCUUCACAAUUUUGAAAAUUUUGAGAAAGAUAAUUUUUUUAAUCCUCAAAUUUUAAAAAGUAUUUUCAAGUAUAUGAGGUAUUUAUUUUUUUUCUAAGAAUUUAUAUAUUUUAUAUGAGACUUUCUAUUUUAAAAACAAAGAUGGGAAAUGUAUACAUACAUAUAAGUAAUUCUCUUUAAAUAUAUUUAUAAUGAAAUCAUAACUAACAAAAGUAUUGCAAAUAAAAAUACCUUAAGUACAAUUACUCCCAAGUGAGUUCAAAGUUAUAAGAAAUAUUUUUGUCAAUAUUUCAGAUCACCAAAAGAAACUAUAAAGGAUUGCAAUAUUACGAAAAAAUUAAAAAUGAUUUUAGUUUAAGCUCUUCAUUUGCAAUCUUGCAAUCUCAUGCCCUAAAUGUUCCAAUUCAUCAAUUUCAUUGGUAAAAUUUUAUUAAAAUUAAUGAUUAUUAAAUAAAAUAAAUUUAAAACCUUUUCCAAAACCAUAUUGUCGAUCCGAGAAUGCCAUGAACAACAUUGUUGAGUAUGAGGCUUGUAUCUUGGGAUUAGAGACAGCCCUCGAGCUCGGUAUUAGACAGAUGGAGGUGUUUGGUGACUCCAAUCUGGUGUUGAGACAGAUUCAGGGUGAGUGGAAGACUAGAGAUGGGAAACUUAGACCUUAUCACGCAUAUUUGGAGCUACUGGUCGCGAGAUUCGAGGAUUUGAGAUACACACAUCUGCCUAGAGCGCGGAACCUGUUUGUUGAUGCCUUAGCUACUCUAGCUUCCAUGAUUGACAUUCCUGCUGACGCCACUGUUCGUCCAUUAUUGAUCGAGUCGAGAUCUGCUUCUGCUUACUGUUGUCUGAUCGAUGAUGUAGAGUCAGAUGAUGGUUUGCCAUGGUAUCACGACACAUAUCACUUUUUGAGGCUUGGCGUAUAUCCUAAGGCCACUACGACCAAGGAUAGGAGAGCAUUGAGACAGUUAGCCGCCCGAUUCGUGAUUUGCGGCGAGACACUAUAUAGACGAUCACCUGAUGGGAUGCUGCUAUUGUGUUUGGACCACGCCUCUGUCGAUAGAGUGAUGCGAGAGGUUCAUGCGGGAGUAUGCGGACCACAUAUGGGAGGACAUAUGUUGGCCUGUAAGAUCAUGAGGACCGGCUACUUCUGGUUGACCAUGGAGACGGACUGCUGCCAGUUCGUUCAGAGAUGUCCCGAGUGUCAGAUACAUGGAGAUCUCAUUCACGUGCCGCCCUCCGAGUUGCAUGCACUGACUUCACCAUGGCCAUUUUCAGUGUGGGGUAUCGACAUCAUCGGGAAGAUUUCGCCGAAAUCUUCCAGUGGUCAUGAGUUUAUCCUUGUCGCCAUUGAUUACUUCACCAAGUGGGUGGAGGCCGCUUCGUAUGCGAGAUUGACAUCGUCUGGAGUUGCUAGUUUCAUCAGAUCACACAUUAUUUGUCGCUAUGGAGUCCCUCAUGAGUUGAUUUCGGAUAGAGGGGUACACUUUAGGGCAGAGGUUGACACUUUGGUGCAGCAAUAUAGCAUCCGACAUCAUAGGUCGUCUGCGUACAGGCCGCAAACGAACGGGGCAGUGGAGUUGCCAUUUUGUGGACCCCGCAUUUCGGCUCAUGCGUUUCCCACUCGAUGACGAGCUCAAUUUUUCAAAUAAAAUCGAGCUCGUCAUCGAGUGGGAAACUCAUGAGCCGAAAUGCGGGGUCCACACAUAUCCAUUUAAAACAUUUUCAUAUCAGGGAUCUCUAGUUUUGCCUCAUGCUUCUCUUUAGAAUUUUAUUUUUAUUUUUUCAACAUGUUUACUUAAAGUUCCAAAUCCAAUAAUGGUGAGAAAAUAUUCAAUUCUAAAAACCAUUUCCAUAUUCAUAUUUUCAUAUCUGUUUUAUCCUUUUAAAUAAAUAAUCCUAGGCUUUGGCAUCAAUUAAUUAAUCUAUGUUUUGCCCAAUUACCAAGUUGAUUGCAAAAAUAUGCUACACUCAUAAGUCUAAAAUAUGCUUUUGGUUUUUCAGCUUUCUAUUUCACUCCAAUUUUGCCAUCUCAAGUUUCAAAUAUAUAGGUGAAAGAAAAAAAAAAUGCAUAAUUUAGUGUUAGAUUGGAAAUAUAUUUUUUCAAUAGUGUUAACUUUUAUAUAAAAUAUUAUAACUUUUAAAAAUUUACGUUUAAAAGCUAAUAAUUUUUAAAAACUACUAAAAAAAUUUGAGAUAUUAAAAGGUUUUACUUCUCUAAUUUUAAAAUUUUGAAAAUUAAUUUUUCAAGAUAUAAUUUAAAACUUUGUCUAGAUAGAUUUCCUUUUAAAAAAAAUAAUAAAUAGUAAUAACUUCUAAAUAAAAUAUAAAACAUUUUAGAAGUUUUCAUUGAAAAUCUUAUGAUUUUUAAAAAAACCAUUUAAAAGAAUUGAGAUAUUAAAAUGUUUUACUUUCUCAAAUUUAAAAAUCUUUUAGAGCCUAUUUGGCCAUGCUAAUGCUCAUUUUUAAAAACUGUCUUGACUUGAAAUUUUUUUUUUUUUGUUUUUUAGUGUUUUAUAAAAAUAUGGGUGUUUGACAAGCUGUUUUUGAAAUCAAUUUUUAAAAAUAAAAAAUAAAGAACUUGUUUGGAUAAUUUUUUUAAAAUUUUUCAAAAGCAUUAUAAAUUCAAUUUAUAUAAUAUAAAUUUAAUUUAAUUUAUAUUAUAUAAAUAUGAUGAUUUUAUAUUUAAAAAAAAACCAUUUAAAAGAAUUGAGAUAUUAAAAAGUUUUACUUUCUCAAAUUUAAAAAUCUUUUAGAGCCUAUUUGGCCAUGUUAAUGCUCAUUAUUUAAAACCGUCUUAACUUGAAAAAAAAAAUUGUUUUUUAGUGUUUUAUAAAAAUAUGGGUGUUUAACAAGUUGUUUUUUAAAAAUAAAAAACUUGUUUGGAUAAUUUGUUUUUAUUAUUUUAUUUUUUUCAAAAACAUUAUAUAUUCAAUUUAUAUAAUAUAAAUUUAUUUUAAUUUAAGUCUUACUUAAAUGAAAAUAUUUCUUAAUUACAAAUAAAUUUAAAAAUAAAUAGUUUUUAGGAAAAUAUGAAUAGUAAUGAUACAAUAAAAUUAUUAAUUGUAUUUUUUUUAUAUAAAAAAGAUACUAUUUUAGUCUAUGCUAGAAACAUAAGGAUAUUAAUAUCUUAUUUAUUAUCAUUUUUUAUUAAAAAUGAAUUAUAAUAGUUUAAAAAUAAUAAUUAUUAAUAAUAUUUUAUUUUAAAUAAAUAAUGAAUAAAGUUUUAACAUGUAUAUGAAUCAAUUUUUUCAUUCUAUGAACACAUAUAGAAUGAACUUUCUGAUAUAAUAUACCUAAUUAUGAAUAUAAUAUUCUAAAACCUCCAUCGCCUCAUUUGAGGUUUUGAACUUUCUGAUAAAUUCGAAUCAACAACAAUAGAAUUGCUCUUUCAAUAUCAAAGGCUCCUUUUGGCGUCAAUAAACCGCCAGUUAGUUAUUGAAACAACACGUUCAUACACAUAUCUAAGUCUUAUUGGAAUGGAAUACAAGUUACCUUCAAGUAAGGUUUUUGCUUACACAUUUACACAUUUACACAUUUUCUAUCUCAAACUGUUAGUGAAAGAUACAGGGCAAACCUACAUUCAAAUGAUCUGAGCCUGUCAUGUACAAUCCAAGCUCAAAAGUCAAGCUUAAGUUAUAAUUCACACGAAAGAGCUGGUCAGCGCACCAAGCCCAAGAACAAUGAUAAGACUGCCAUUUACCAACCUGACAUAAGCUUGAUAUCUCACAUGGAGAACUUACAAGGUGGGUAAGCAUUUGUUAAUUGACACCAAUCAAUCCUGAUACAGAAGAUGGACAUCUCACAUGAAGGGCAUAAGGUGAACCCCUAGGAUCUUGUUGAGCAAAUUGGACUACACUCCAAUCAAGAGCUAAGAUCUUACUAUACCAAUUCAGGUUAUCCUGAUCACGUGUUAGUGGAGGAAAUGUUGUUGAUUUCCAUUUACAUAACUUUGAUUUAGUAGGUUUGGUCUAAUUGGGGUGUAAUAUACGUUAUACAACGGGGAAAGGGAGUGCGAUGAGGUAGUAAAAACAGGACACAACUUGUGAAAAAGGGUCCAAAGUGGAACCCCUUUUUAAGGCUUUUAAUCCUCUGCAGCUUUGCUGAAAUACUAUAACCCAGAUUACUGGUACACAAGCGUUACCAAAAACCAUCAUUUCUGGUGGAUUAUUCCUACCCUUCAUUGAGGGAAGUCUAACCCUGCAGACAAAUACAACCUAGAUGGCUGAUUUUCUAGCUUCCAUUAAUGGGGAGAUUUUCUCUCAACAUUCACUGACCAUUCUAAGUGGGUAAAAAUUAGAAGUUAAGAGACAUCCUACAUGAUGAAUUAGUCAUGCAGAACAUAAGUCCAGGGAUAUUAUCAAGUACUUUAGGGUCCUUUAGGUCAUGGAAACUACUCGAGAAAGGAAAAAAGAAAAAAGAAAAAAUUAUGAAGGAACAUGUAUUCUCUUGCUUGGUUUGCCAAGGAAAAUUUUGCUUUCCCUUUUUCAUCCUUAUUUUCUUAUUGUCAUACUUCCCCUCAAACUUUUCAUGAUCUAAACAGAAGUUUGACUUAUUUAAGAAGCUACCUGACAAGUAUUUCCUUUCCACAAUUGUUUAUUCAACCAAUGAGGCAUUUUUUCCAUUACUCAAUUCUCAAUCUAGUUUCUUUUACACUAACCCUCAAGAAACAAAAUAACACAUAAGCGGGGCUUAUUUUUCAAUAUAAAAAUUCUCUACCAAGAUAUCAGACGUCUAUGAAUUGAAAAUUUAGAACAAUAUUUUCCAAAUCACCCGUGGGGAUCCAUGAUAAGAUAAAUUAGUUACAUUCUCAUGCUUCUUUACGAACCUUUUUCAACAGACUGAGCCCAGUUAAUGCUUGAUCUGGCCAAAGCAUCCAUCAGAUCAAUACAUUUCCUAAGCAGAGGAUCAUCCCGAGGCAAAAGAUCACGCAUGUCAUCAGAGCCAAGGAUGACAGUGUUCAUAGCCCUCGCCAGAAGAACUUGCAUUGCAAUUCUUAGCAGAUUCCUUGCCACUUCCAUGUCCUUUCGAUUUAAAGAUUCAAUUGCAGAAAUUACAGUGUGCUCCAUUGUUGCUUCAUCUGGAACAACAACCUCAAACCCCUGCAUACAUAGAAUUUAGAUUGGAAGGAAUCAAUGUAUUUACGGAUGACAGAAAUGAAAACCGUGCUAAAAGGUAUAUAGUGAGUUGAUGUGGUAACUAAAACUAAAACAGGUUGCUUUUUUCUCUCAAUUAAAAGCAUCUUUCAGAACUUCAGAACUCCCAUAGAUUCAUAUGGAACAUCAUUAUAUAUAUAUAUGUAUAUAAGCAUGCACUUCAAGGCAGUGUAUGUGAAACACGAUCAGGAGUGUGAGACUGUAAUGACACACGGAAUUCCAAAUCCUAUCAUUAUAUAAUAAUAUAAUAUAUUAAUUUCAUCAUUAUUUUAUCCAUCAUGUGUAGGUGGGACCCAGCUCUGCCCAAAACUGCAAUCCUAUCACAGUUGGCAAAACAUUUUGAAAUUCACUUUUGAGCUCUGUUGUAAUUUCAGUAAACAGUUACAACUAGAAAUACCAAAAGAAAAUAGAAUACAAGUAAAAUGGUAUUUCUGGGGGUUUUAGACAAGCUGUCAUGAUGAAGACAAGAUGGGGGUUUAGCAAAAUGGAUGCUGAUUUUGUUGUAUCGAAGAUUCAACAUUCUUUUGUUAAAGGCCGUUAAAUUUUGGAUGCAAAUUUGAAAGCCAAUGAAGCCAUAGAUUUUAGACUGAAGAGUUUGAGAGAAGGGGUGAAUCUGUAAGUUGUGUUGAGGCCUCGCGUCCCUGGUGAUCCACGUAGUUGCCAAAUGGAUGGACGCACGAUCUCAACCAAUAUAGAUUCCUGGUUCAGUCGUUCCUGCAAAAGGCGUUCGAACAGGGUGUCCGGACACACCCUCUGAUGGUUUUGUCAGCCAUGGUUAAAGAGAAUAAUCAGUUGGUCUUUUACUAGGUAUAGCAAGCUUACUUUCCUCUUUGUGUGAAGGUCCAUAUAUAUAGCGUUUAGGAGCUUUGUUUCUCUCUUUAAUGGUAGGGAGAUAUUUUGUCUUGUCAUGAUGCCUUUAGGUGGUGACAGGGCCAUCAUCACCCUACUGGCGGCUGACAGAGAUCGUGGGAGGCGCCGCAGCUGUCAGAGAUCGUAGGAAGUGACUUGCCAUCAUUCUUGUCCUUUCACUCUGUAGGUGGCAGAACGUGGGCCGUGGCAGGUUGUCGAAAUGACGUAGUAAGACUUGCUUACUUUAGUCAACGAUCCGGUCAAACCUAUCCGGAUAGGAUAUGUCGGUCGUCCGGAUGUGAUGUUUGCGAGUGUCGUGUACUUCUCCCUGAGGGAGUCCGGAUAGGGGAAGCGCGCCACGUGUCUCCUUGGAUCCAGAUGGAGCUAAUCCGGAUAGAAAUACGUGCCACGUGUCAUCAGGGGGAGGGGUCCCUACAAUGCCCCCAUUUUAACCUGCCCAUUUUGCCCGGGCAAAAUGGGCGGGUUAAAAAAUGAUUGUUUUUUGAAACUGAGGUUGACUUUUUUCGCUUUAUUGGGCCACAUGGCGAGCAGGGGCGAAAAAGGAAGAAGAGCAUUUAUGAUGAGCCGCCGAUUCUGGGAUUUCCCAACCAGCGUGUCCUUUCAAUGAUGGCUCGGCUGAGCGUUUGGGAUACCGAGGGGUUGUCUCUCUAUAAAUUGCAAACUGUGUCUUCCUCUUGCAUUUUUUCUUCUGCGUUUUUUCCUGGUAAUGCUUUCUCUUCUACCUUCUGCGUAUCUUCGUUUUCGAGUGAAGCUCUAGGGUUUUCUGCCGGCAAUACUCGUGUUGUGAUGGUGACUGCAUUGCGGAUUUCAUCCCAUUUUUCCAGUUUUACACUCGGUACGUUCGCUACUCUUGUCUUAUCUUCGUUGUGUUUGCUUUGUUGGUUGUUUCUGGCUUGCUGGGCAAGUUGCUUGCGACUGGGUGUCGAUAUUGGUUUCUAGGGUUUUUUCGGGGGAUUCUGUUGUGUUUUGGGUGCGUUUAGGGUUUCUGUUGCCCCUCUGCGCUUUUUGUGGGUUGUCGAUACUUUUUUGGGGUAGAAACAAGGUUUGGGAUGGGGAUGCUAGUGAUGUUAGGUUUUCUGAGCGUUUUUAUCGUUUAAGGCUGUGGGGUCGGAUUGUUGUGUUUGACUGUUGGUCAUUCUUCCAUGCAGGUUCCGUUCCAGUCCCAACCUCAAAAAUGUCUACGAACAAGGGCGCUGUUUCGUCUACUACGGUCGAUCAGAGCGGCAAAGAUGCGUCUGGAGACUUUCACGCGGAGAAGUCUGUGGACAAGCUGAAUGCGAAGGAGUUUCGUGAACGCUUCUGCAUCCCAAAUGGCGUGUUCGUUGAACUUAUGGACGGAGAGGCCAUGUCAACUGAGGAAACUGAGGAUAACGCUAUCUUUUUUACCAAUGAGCAAUUCAAUGCUGGGCUCCGGUUCCCUCUCCCAUCGCUUUUCAAAGAAUUUCUCCACUUCACCCAGAUCCCUCCGGCCUACAUCCAUCCCAACAUGGUCCGAGUGCUGAUGGGAUGCAGCACUCUAAGUAUGUUGUUCAACCUGGACCUCUCGCUGCUGGAGGUUCUUUUCAUCUACUCCCUCAAGAAGGGGAAAAAUGACAUCUUUAGCAUGGUUGCCCACCUGCCUUCUCUCCAACUGGUGAUUGAGCUUCCAGAUUCGACGAAGGGAGGAGCCAAGGGACAUGUGUUGGUCCGGGGUGUCUGGGCUGGGCUAUUGGAGCAUCCAGAGAGGCUGUUUUCCCUAAACCGUUCGUUGGUGCUUCCGGGUAAGGCAGCUUGCAGGGUUUGUCCGGCAUUCAUCUUGUUGUUCUUCUUGCUUUGGGGUUAUCAGAUGGCUUAAUACCUUUGGUUGCUGAUAAAGCAGGUCCGGACAAGAGGGGUCACGUAGUCGAGUGGGUAGAAAAAGCGUUUUUCGUUCGACUAAACAAGUUAUUUGAGAUUACUGCCGCUGAGAGGCAUCAUGAGACGCUGCUUACUACGCGAAACUUGCUGGCUGUUGUCAAGGAGCCCCAGACAUAUGUCACCAAUAUUCUCCCCAGGAAGUUGCCAAAGAAGGUAGUGCCUAGGGAGCAUUACGUUCUAAAAGACCUCCCUUUCUACAAGGAGGUGCGCAAGGUAGAUGCCCAGGCACGUUGAGCACGUCUCGAUGAUCGGGAGGGAAGAAGGAAAGAGGGAACUUUGCGGAGGGCCCCCGGUAAAAAACGCUCCGCGCCCUCUCUUCCUGCUGGCGCCCCAGCGAAAAAGAAGAAGAAGAUGGUUCUCAAUAAGGGGAAAUAAAUAAAACUUCCAACUCCCCCAAAGGAAAUGGUAAUACCACCUCCAACUUUUGUAAAGGAAAUAACAAUAAGAGAGCCAGACCACCCCGUCUUGCCCUCUGUUUCAAGUGGCUCCGGACGUCUCGCAGGUCUAAACCAUUCGGGGCCUUCAGUGCCAGUGGCUGGACAACUGGCUCUUCUGGCUGAGGAAGCGACUUCAGUAAAUCAGCCCGGCUCUCCCCAUCCGGACGUAGAUGCAGCCGGGGCCUCUUGCACUGAAGCAUUGCCUCCUUCGGCACCCCCAAUGAAAGAAACAGGGGUAGAAAGUCAAGGUUUGCCUCCUUAUGAGCCAAGCCCCCUUGCCUUUGUACUAGUGAAGGAGCCAGCUACAAGGAGGUCUCGUCCGGCGUGUGACUUAAAGUCUAGCCUCAUCAGGCGGCUUCAGGAUCGUUUUUUGGAAGCCAUCGAAGUCAGCUGCUCAUCCGUCCAGGAGGAUCAUUCGGAGGGGAGUGAGACGGAGAUGGCAGAAGAGAACCCAACCGCCCCGGUGUUGGUCCCGGAUGGGGGUUCACCCGGAGAGACCCAGUUGGCCGAGAAUGAUGGGGCCCCGGACCCGAGGGAGGAAUCACUUCCUAAUGCCUCGUCAGGGGGGAGUCCCGUUGAUGAUGCAGCUUGCAUCUCCCCUAGUCCUUUCAGCUAUGCGGAGUUAGGAGAGAUGUUGAAAUGGAUUCCAUCCGGCUCAGAUGUUGCUGUGCCUUCAGCAAAAAUGUUUGAAGCGGCGGAAAUGGUAUAGUUUACUUCUUGAUUUAUCUCGUUAUACUGAUGUGUUUGUCACAUGGGUUGUAAUUUUUGCAUUUCUUGUUUGUGGGUUUUUCUGCAGUUGGUGAGCGGUAUUCGCGACAUGGCUCAACAACGUGAUCUUUUUUCUGACCUGCUGCGGACUGCUGAUUAUAUGAAGGCCUUCGUCUCUCAGCGCAUAAACAGUGAAGAGGAUCUGCGCUUGAGAUUGGAGCAGGCCGAAGCCAGUUUAUCCGCUGCUCGAGAUGACAACGAGGCUCUCCGGAUAGAGUUAGCUAAGGCAAAGAGUCGGGAGGAAUCUACAGACGCCCGCCUGCAUGAGGCGGAGGACGAGAUGGCGCAGCUAAGGGAGGAAGUGAGGCAACUCCAGACAGAGGUGUCUAUUGAGAAAAAGUAGAGAGAGGAUUUGCAGUUGCGUUUAUCAGCGCAAAAAGAAGAGUUGGAGGUUGUGUUUGCUGCGGAAAGGGAGGAACUUGAAGCGGACUACCAGAAGCAGGUAGAUGAAAUGUACUUCUUCGGCUACCGUUGCUGUAUGAAGAAACAUGGUAUCAAGCGGGAUGUCCCUUCGAUUCCCUCGGGUGAAAAGGAGAAGCUACCCGACAAGCCUUCCCAAUGAGAGCUUUUCUUUUUGUAAUUUUUUUACUGCUAUCUUCUCUCUGUAUUUUGUAGUCCGGAGAACUCUUUGUAUACAACUUCACAAGUAUUAAUAAAACAUACUUAUUCAUAUUGUACUUGUAUCUUUCUUUCAUUGGUAAUACUGCUUUAAAUUGGAUACAUUCCAUGGUCUGAGUAAUGGGGUUCCGUCUAGCUUUUGUAGAUGAUAAGUUCCACUUUCACUUGUCUUAGAUACUAUAUAGGGGCCUUCCCAGUUGGCUUGAAACUUUCCUACUCCUAUCUCAGCAGUAUUUUCGAAAACCUUUCUAAGGACCAGCGUACCAUUUUUGAAAUUUCUGGGCCUUACCUUGCGAUUGUAGUGAGCGGAUGCCCUUUGUUGAUAGUCUGCCAUCCGGAUGGAUGCAGUUUCUCUUACUUCGUCUGCCCAGUCCAAGUUUCUUCCUAACUUCGCAUUUGCAUCAUCCUGUCUUCCUGCCUCGGUCCGGAUAGUGGGUAGCCCUAUUUCAGUAGGAAUGAUUGCGUCCAUACCUAUGCGAGGGCGAAGGGAGUGUUUCCUGUCGGACGUCCGGGUGUUGUUUGAUAAGCCCAUAGGACGCCGGGUAGCUCCUCCACCCAUUUUUCUUUGGCUUGCUCGAGCCUCUUCUUUAAGGCAGUGAUUAGAGUCUUGUUUGUGGCCUCUGCUUGCCCAUUACUUUGAGGAUAACGCGGUGUAGAGUAUGAAUUCCAGAUGUUUAGUUCCGAACAGAAAUUCCGGAAAGCGAUGCUAUCAAACUGUGGACCGUUGUCGGCUAUAAUGGUUUGGGGGAUUCCGAAGCGGCAGAUGAUGUUCUUCCACACGAACUUGGUGACAUCUUUGUCUUUGAUGCUAGAGUAUGCUUCAGCUUCCACCCAUUUACUGAAGUAAUUCGUGGCGACGAGCAGGAAUUUAUUUUGAGCGGGUGCGGCUGGUAGGGGUCCUACUAUGUCCAUGCCCCACUUCGCGAAGGACCAGGGGCCUGAAAUUGGCUUCAAUGUCUCCGACGGCACAUGUGGUAUGGGGGCAUGACUUUGGCAUUUGUCACAUUUUUUUACAUAGGCUGCCGCAUCCUUCUUCAUCGUGGGCCAGUAAUAUCCUUGCGAAUGGGCCCUGUGUGCCAGAGAUCGACCUCCAGAAUGAUUUCCACAUACUCCCUCGUGCAAUUCAGCUAAUACAUACAGGGCCUCUGAGUGGUUUAGGCACCGGAGAUAGGGACUUGUGAAGGAUCGCUUAUACAAGUGCCUCCCAAUCAGGGUGAAACGGGCAGCUUGCACCCAGAUCUUGUGUGCCUACUUGGGUUCUUCAAGCAGAGUGCCUGUCCGGAGGUACCUUAUAAUGUCUUUCGUCCACUCUUGGUUGUCUACUUGGUUUGCCUCAAUGGUAUUGCAAGUGGAAGCUUCCGCGACAUAAGGGUUGACUUGCACAUGUAUAGGCAACAAUAUGGCUUCUUUGAUGGGGAGGGAGGUAGCUAUGCUUGCCAAGGCGUCGGCGCGCCCAUUUUCAGUUCGUUUUAUUUUUUUGAUCGUCUAUUCGGUGAACUGCUGUAAGGUGUCUCUUACUUUAGCCAGAUAUCGCGUCAUGCGCGCGUCCUUAGCUUCGUAUUCUUUCUGAACGUGCCUUACCACGAGUUGGGAGUCACUAUAGACCCGAAGCUUGGAGACGGAUAGAGCUAGGGCGAGGUCCAAUCCGGAUAGGAUGGCCUCAUAUUCCGCUUCAUUGUUAGAGGCGGUGAACCCCAGCCGAAUGGCUUGCUCCAGAUGUUCUCCUGUUGGUGAUUGUAGUAGGAGCCCUAUUCCGGAUCCUGAUGAUCGUGAGACUCCAUCGACCCGCAAAGUCCACCACUCUUUUUCACUUGGUUCCUUGUGCUGGAUAGGCCUUCGGGAGUAUUCCAGCACGAAGUCAGCCAUAACUUGGCCUUUCAUGGAUAACCUGGGUUGGAACUCGAUUCCAUAUUCGCUUAACUCUAUAGCCCAUUGAAGCAUUCUUCCGGUUAGGUCCGGCUUGUGCAGAAUGUUGCGAAGGGGUUGGUCAGUUAGCACGACCACCGGGUGGGCUUGGAAGUAAGGGCGGAGCUUUUGGGCGGCACUUCGAAAAGUUAAAGCCGUUAGCUCCAUCUUUGAAUACCUGGUUUCUAGGUCUGCCAAUACUCUACUGACGUAGUAGAUAGGUUUCUGCUCCUUGGGCGAUGGGCAACGGAAUAGAACAGCGCUAAUUGCUCACUCUGAUACAGCCAGAUACAUAUACAGUUUUUCUUCAGGGAGGGGACUGCUCAGGAUGGGCGGUUGCAUGAGACAGUGUUUAAUUUUUUCAAGAGCGCUUUGACAGUUGUCCUUCCAUCCGUUUGCUCCAGCUUUUCGUAUUGCCAAGAAGAAGGGUCGCAGUUCGUCAGUGAAGCAGGCUAUAAAACGUCCUAGCACGACGAGUUUGCCUGUGAGGCGCUGUAAUUCCUUUUUGCCCCUGGGGGGUGGUGUUUCCAUGACUACCUUGACUUGAUCCGAGCUAACCUCUAUCCCCCUUUGGCUGACCAUAAAUCCUAGGAAUUUGCCAGCACUUACGCCAAAGGCGCAUUUGGAAGGAUUCAGCUUCAUACCAUACUUCCUUAAGAGUUGGAAGAUUUCUUGCAAGUGGAGGACAUGUUCCUCUCGGGUUUUGCUUUUAACCACGAUGUCGUCAAUAUAUACCUCUACUGUGCGGCCGACCAGAGGUUUGAAGAUUUUCGUCAUCAGUCUCUGAUAAGUGGCGCCAGCUUUUUUGAGUCCGAAUGGCAUGACUUUGUAGCAAUAAAAAUCGUGUGGCGUUAUGAAGGCUGUUUUUUCUUCGUCAGCCGGGGACAUGGGGAUUUGGUGGUAUCCGGAGAAGGCGUCCAAGAAUAAGAGCAUCCCUUGCCCAACAGUGGAAUCCACAAUUUGAUCUAUCCGUGGCAAAGGAAAACUGUCUUUUGCGCAUGCAUUAUUGAGGUUGGUGUAAUCGACGCACACCCGCCAUUUGCCUUCUUUUUUUGGUACCACCACUACAUUUUCCUACCAGUCCGGGUAAUCCACUUCUCUGAUGAAUCCGGCUUCUAGCAAUUUGUCAAUCUCAUUUCGAAUAAUUUUUUGUCUGUCCUGGUGAAAACGUCUAACCCUCUGCCGGAUGGGUCUUGCUGUUGGCAAGACGUUAAGCCUAUGAGAGGUAAUGGAGGGAUGAAUUCCCUUCAUAUCAGAAUGUGCCCAUGUGAAGACGUCAUGAUUUUGUCUGAGGGCGUUCUGCAUGUUCCGGGUCUCUUCUAGUGUCAGGAGGGAACUGAUAUUCGUAAGGUGAGUACCUUCUUCCGAAAUUUGGAUCGCUUGCAAAGGAUCCGCUGCCGGGAGAUCUUUGUCCGCCGGACUCAAUAAUUGUUAUUGGUCACGUGCAUGGCUGGACUCAGGGAGGGAUGCAUCCUUCUGGCUGGUCCCUACUUCACGUGCUAUCUGGUAGCAUUGGCGAGCGGCUAACUGGCUGCCGUAUAGGUCAAUUUGCCCAUCCUUGGUAAGAAAGCUUACCAUUUGAUGAUACGUAGAGGGGAUGACUUUCAUGUAGUGCAGCCAUGUGCGCCCCAAGAUGACAUUGAAGGGUGAUAAAUCUUGUACCACCGAAAAUUGUACGUUGAGAGUGACUGGGCCAGCUUGGACCGGCAGUACAAUGUCUCCCAAGGAAGUAGUUGACGACCCGUUGAAUCCGGACAAGAUUCGCCCAGGGUUUUCGAGGCCUGUGAGACUGUGUCCCAUGUGGCUAAUGACCGAUGCUUGUACAAGAUCAGCCGAGCUACCCGGGUCAACCAGGAUGCGCCUCACGUCAAAGUCUCCUAUCUCUAGGGACAGGAUGAGGGCGUUGUGGUGCGAAUGCAAUAUCCGGGUGGGGUCUACUGGUGGAAAAAUGAUUGUCCCAUCUAUGGGGCGAGGGCCCCCCUCAAUUACUCCAGGCCGGAUGGAGUUGACACGUUCACGCACCGAUGCUGCCCGCAACAACUUUUGUCUCUUUCGUUUGGAGUCGUACUCCUCGUCAGAUGGACCUCCAUUAUUAUAGUUUAUAACCGCUUUGGGGGCGGCUGGGGCCCUGGGGGCUCCAAAGUUGUGAUUUCGGGAAGCGUCUCUACCUUCGGCAUCUGAGCGGAGGUAUUGCUUUAAAUGUCCUGCCCUUAUGAGCCUUUCAUGGAAGGCACAUUUUUUACUAUGAUCUCUUUUGGAUGGAUUCGUUCCGAGGGGUCUAGGCCACCUGAAGUCGGACAUGUCUUAGAUCAUAGGGAGAAGCUUCUCAUAUGAUAUGGAAAGGGGUGUGAGGGGCGGCAUUUUCGGGUGACUUGGCCCUUUCUGCCUUCGAUCGGACGGCCUUGGCCUGUCCGGAAGUUUGGUACUUCUUUCCGCACCCCUUCUGGAUGUCUGUCCGGCAACCAAGACUUGCUGGGUGGCUACACGCACGUCAUCUUCGAGCAUUGAGUAUUUGCUCGCACGCCGGAACAAGUCGUCCAUCGUCGUAGGAGGCUUUUUAGCGAGUGAUUCAAAAAAUGGGGUGCCUGAACAGAUGCUUCGUUUGAAGAUUUGUAGGACAGCAUCCAUGCUGUAAGCCUCUACCUAUAGUACGACCUGACCAAACCGCUUCACGAACUCCCUUAAGGAUUCGUUAUCCUGCAUUUUUAUGUUUUGCAGAGUGCUGAUGUUCUGCUUAUGUCGAGCGAAGCAUAAGUAUUGCCCCACGAAGGCUUCCGAUAGGUCUCUGAAAUUAUCAACAGAGUUAGGAGGUAGGCAGUGAAACCAUGAGAGGGCCUGCCCUUGUAGGCUGGCGGGGAAUACUUUGCAUAGCAGUGCGUCGUUGCCUAUAUCGAGAGUCAUGAGCUGUCGAUAAUGCAUGAUAUGGUCGAAGGGGUCACUGGACCCAUCGUAUGUGGAGAAUUUGGGCACAAGGAAUCCCCUUGGGGGCUCGUAAUGAAUGAUAUGAGAGCAGAAAGGCAUGGAGAGCAUGUCGUCCAGCCUUUUGGUGAUGGAGCCAAUGGGUGGCUCAUUUGGGAGGUUUCUCCCAGCUUGUUGUACCGCUAGGUGCGGUUGAACGUUCUGCACCAUAGGGGUGACCAUGGGGUCACGGUGUGGACGAACAUUCUGCACCAUAGGGGUGACCAUAGGGUCAGGGUGCGCUCCCCAAGUUGUGGCUACUGGCGGCCUUGGCCUCCUAGGCUCCUGUGGGCCUAGCCUCGCGCGCAUCGAGUUUGACAACUGGGGCCUUUUAUCGCGUUGUCUUUUUGCUGAAAAAUGAGCAGAGUCUGAGCUUUCCUCAUGUGGAGCUCGGUGCAUGGGAGUGUGUGGCUCAUGCGGCCUAACGUUGCAUGUUUCUGGGAUGGCUCCUGCUGUCCCAAGGUAUAUUGACUCUGGUUCUGGCCUUGAGUUUGCUACCUGGCCUCUUGAACGUUGACGACGGGGAGGCCCCAUCAAUGAAGCCUGGAUGCAUAGCACCACGUUUUCUUCUCUUAACCUUUCUGUCUCCUAGAGGAGAGUUUGCAGUUGUCGUUAGCUUGUCAAUUGUCUUCUUUUGAUGGCUUGGCGCCAUUCAGAAUUAUCUUCCUCUCCCCUACCAAAUGAACGGCUUCGGGAAGGUGUGGCCAUCUUUGCCGGUGACUGAAUCAGCGAGAUUCCCACAAACGGCACCAAUGUUGAGGCCUCGCGUCCCUGGUGAUCCAUGUAGUUGCCAAAUGGAUGGACGCACGAUCUCAACCAAUAUAGAUUCCUGGUUCAGUCGUUCCUACAAAAGGCGUCCGGACAGGGUGUCCGGACAUACCCUCCGAUGGUUUUGUCAGCCAUGGUUAGAGAGAAUAAUCAGUUGGUCUUUUACUAGGUAUAGCAAGCUUACCUUCCUCUUUGUGUGAAGGUCCAUAUAUAUAGCGUUUAGGAGCUUUGUUUCUCUCUUUAAUGGUAGGGAGAUAUUUUGGCUUGUCAUAAUGCCUCUAGGUGGUGACAGGGCCAUCAUCACCCUACAGGCGGCUGACAGAGAUCGUGGGAGGCGCCGCAGCUGUCAGAGAUCGUAGGAAGUGACUUGUCAUCAUUCCUGUCCUUUCACUCUGCAGGUGGUGAAACAUGGGCCGUGGUAGGCUGUCGAAAUGACAUAGUAAGACUUGCUUACUUUAGUCAACGAUCCGGUCAAACAUAUCCGGAUAGGAUAUGUGGGUCGUCCGGAUGUGAUGUUUGUGAGUGUCGUGUGCUUCUCCCUAAGGGAGUCCGGAUAGGGAAAGCGCGCCAUGUGUCUCCUUGGGGGAAAUCCAGAUGGAGCUAAUCCGGAUAGAAAUGCGUGCCACGUGUCAUCAGGGGGAGGGGUCCCUACAAGUUGGAUAUUCAGAAGUCCAACAAUCAUAGGAUUUGACAACGAGUGAAUAUGUUGGAUACAAUUCCUCAUGUCUAUUGUAACAAUUUCUUUGUUUGUGAAUGGCUCUUUUUUGUUUCUUUCAAAGUCCAAGCGGGUUGAGACAAUGCACCCUCUUAUCUCCUUUGUUUGUUCUAGUUAUGAAGACUUUUAACUGUUUUGUUACCAAGGUGACAAGAGGGGCUUCUUUUAUGACUUUAAAGUAAGGGAAGAUGAAGAAAAGGGUCGGAAGUCUCCCAUUUACUCUUUGCAUUAUGAUAAAUUGCUUUUUUGUGAUUGAUCACGGGCUCAGUUUUGAUGUGAAGUCAUCUCAAAAUUGAGAAUAAGCUCGAAGAAAAGUGAAAAGUCCCCAAUAUUGAAGAAUUAACCUCUUUGUUGGGUUCCAAGGUGGUCAAGUUACCCUUCUCUUUUUUUUUUUUUUUUUUUUUUUUUUUGAGAUAAUCGAAGAACCUUCUAAACCCUUAGGACUCUCCAUAAAGACCCAAACCUUGGGCCUUCCCUAACAAUCGACACUGGGUGAAUCAAAGUAUCAUCAAUAGCAAGAUUUAAAAUCAAGAUCAUGUGCCUCUUAUUAGAACCACAUGCAUCUCCCAUCAUUCGCCCUAACCAACUGGGCUACCCGACAGGCAUACCUUCCUUCUUAGUCUUCCUAGGUUUUCCCUUCAAAGUCUUCUACUAUGUCAAAUGUUCUGAAGGAGAGGCUACUUAAAAGGUUAGCCUCAUGGAAGUGUUAGUAUUUGUCUACAAGUGAAGAUUAACCCUUUUGAAAAGCAUUUUAUCCAAUGUGUCCAUUUACUAUUUGUUAUCCCAAAAAGAGUUCAUAUGAGGUUAAAAAUGAUUAAGAAAGAGUGUUGGUGGCCAGUAAGUUUUUUAAAGAAGAAACCUCAUUUAGUCAACUCAUAUACAAUGUAUUUAGAUGAUAAAAUAAAAAUUAAAUUAAAUUAAAAAUGGAGGCAUUGAAAUAAUCAUUUUGUUCACAAAUAUAUAAUUUAUAUUAUUAAAAUUCACAAUAAUUAUAAAAAGGAAAAUAAUUAAAAAUAACCAAAAAUAUCUUUUUUUGAGUGAAGACACUUUUAACUUUUCUAACUAUUUUCUAACUUUCAUAUGUCAAUAAUAAAUAAUAAAUAAAUAAUUAUUUUUUACUUUUUAAUUAAAAGAAUUUUAGAAUAUCAAUUUUCAGACCUAGGGCAUGUGCAAAACUAUAUUGUUUAUGGUCAAAAUGACAAUUGAUGAGGAUGGUACAACCCAUCCACUCCAAUUUUUAAAACCAUGUUUUUAAGCAAGGCUCCAUUAGGUAAGUAGAGUUGCAGAUUUGCCAUAUAUAGGGAUAAUAUAGAACAAUUUUUGCUCACAAAAGUAGACAUCCUACAUUAGUAAGACCUUUGUAUGCCAGUACCUAGCAUUUAUAAUGCAUAACAAGAACUACAAAACACUUCUUCCUGAGGUUGUUCAAAUUUACACUUCCAUUAAAUGGACUCCUCAAAAUGGGCUACAUCAGACGGGACAUCUAAUGAAUAAUGUAUGGGGGAAUAAGGUAUGACUAAGGUUUUACAUUUAGUACCAAAUCAACAUAUGUUUAUAUAGGGAUGAUUUUGAUGCAAAUCAAAUUAAGCUUUUACAUUUAGUACCAUCAUCCAAGAUUAAUUCACCAUGGCUCUAAAUGGUCAUGCAUGUUUUGUUUCCCCAUAUUUUUAUUAUCGCCCAUGGAAGAAACUACAUGGGUCAUUUAGAGGGGCCCAUCACAAUAACAUAUAGCCCAAUAAAAUUAAUGAAGUCUUAGAAACUGAUUCUAUAAUCCAUGCAUGCAACAAGCUGAGAAAAUAAUCUUUCAAGUUAAGAUUGGAUAGUUGAGCCCCCUUAGAAACUGUACCACACUUCAAAUCUCAUUUUCCCUUAUUUACGUAUUGGCAUACACUGCCCUUUAUCUGCUCACAAAGAAUUAGAGCUUACCAAGAAAAAGUUCUCGUUCAACUCAAACAAUGUAGAGGGUUGUAAAAUAGUUCAAGGAGAGGAAGAGUGGCUGAGUAAGUUAGAACAGAAGGACAAAGCUACUCUAAAUGCCUUUUUGCCCCGUUUCAAAGCAACAUAAGAAUAAGGGGCUUUCAAAGCAACAUAAGAAUAAGGAGCUUAAGAAUGAUUUCCAGUCUUCUAUUUUCAUGUCUAUUUGAUAGUUGGAAUGUGUAUUGUUCAUUUGUGGGUUGAUUCUCUCUCCACCAUUGAAAUUCCCAUGCAGGGACAAAACAAAGGAAAUGUAUGAUGUUAUGAGAUGUUUAUGAAAAGUGUCUUGUAAUUGCAUUAUGUGUAAUAAAGUACUAAGUCUAUAUAGGGUUGUUUAAAAUUGUUGUGAUCUAAGUAUCAUUUUGAUAUGAUUUUAAUUUUUAAAAGUAGAAAAUGAUAUUAAUUCCUAUAUUGAUUUUAAAAUGUUAAAUAUUUGAAAACUUUUACAUGGUAAUUCUAAAUAUUGGUAAAAUCAUACUAUUAAUAUUUUGUACAUUUUUAAUAUUUUCAUCCUUAAUUGAAAAUAUUUUCCAAAGCAACAUAAGAAUAAGGAGCUAAGGAAUGAUUUCCAGCCUUCCAUUUUCAUGCCUAUUUGAUGCUUGGAAUGUGUAUUCUUCAUUUUUGGUUAAUUGCUUUUACGUUUACAGGAAGAAGGGCCCAAACUCCCUUUGUUGCUCCUCUAUCCAUCCUUGUAAUCCCCACGCAUGGACAAAACGAAGGAGAUGCAUGGCUUUAUAUGCAUGACAAGUGUCUUGUAAUUGUGCAUGUGGAAUAGAGUUUGAGUCAAUUGGUCGUUAUUUCAAACUAUUAUGUUGUAAGAAUAAGUUGGAUAUGAUUUUUAGUUUAAAAAAUAGAAAAUAAUGUUUCAAUUUGAAAUGUCUUUAAUGAAAGUGUUUUUAAAAGAAUUACCUAUAAAUGUUUCUGCAAAAAACACUACAACCAAUUUUUUAAUACUAUAAAGUAAUUUCUUUUAAAAUUUAAAAGUAUUUCUUAAAUUUUAUUAAACACCUAAUAUUUUUUUUAAAAACACUUUUUUAGGUUGACAAUGUUUUUCAAAAAGCACUGUCAAAUAGACUCAAACUCUUAUAUUGAUUUUAAAAAUUAUUUCAAAAUUUUAAAAAUUCAAAGGUAAAUUUAAAAAACAUAAUGUAAGUAUGAGUUACUAUAUUUUAUAUGAAAGUGGCUAUUAAUUUCUAUCUCUAAAAAUAAAAAUAAGAAAUGAAUUCAAAUUAUUAGUACUUAAUAAUUAACUAAUUAAUUAGUGUUUGAAUACAAAUAUAUAUACAAUAAAUUAAUAAGUUUCUUAUAUGUUUGGAAAAAAGCAUCUAUAUAGAGUGUUAUUUAUUACAAAUGUAUGAUAAAUUAAUAAGAUUCUCACUUAAGUUGCAUUUUAUUUGAAUUUCAGAGAAAUAAUAGUUGUAAAAUUAGAAGGAAAUAGGGUUGAUAUUGUCAAAUGAUGAUGAAACAUAAUUCAGAAAUUAAAACAGGAAGAAAAAAAAUUAAAUAAUUGUAUAUUCUAUAUUAUAGUGGAGGCAUCAAAUAUUUGUCUAUUAUCAUUAUUAUUAUUCUUUUUAUCAUUUCCACCUAAUUUAUUCAUCGAAUACACAAGAGUUGAGUCACAUAAUCCAUAUUGACCAAAUAAAUAAUAGGACAAAGUCCAACUCUCUCCUCUUAACAUGAUAUAUAUACCUUUUUUUAAUUAAAUGAUAAAGCUAUAUAUAAUUCUAAAAAGAUUCUUUGCAACAAUAUCUUGUAUUUUUGCAUGUGGUCAAAUAAUCAUCCUCAUUAUUAUUAUUAUUUUAAUACCACAACUACUCUACCUAAUAACAAAUGGUUGCCAAUUUUCCUGAUAAAUUAAGUUUUGAAAAGAAUCAUUUCAACUACGUACUCUACCAAAUCAUCAACAAUAAGAAAUGGUUGCAAGUUAUUUUCCCAAUAAAUUAAGUCUUGAAUUCUCCCAACAAAUGAAGUUUUGAAAAGAAUCCUUUAGUUGUAUGGUACUUUACUAUCUUUAUAUGUAAGUAUAUUUGUUCUCAUAUGUAUAAGGAUUUUUUUAUUUAUUUAAAAGAAUCACUUCAAUAUGUGUAUUAUUAAUUAGUUUAUUAUUUUUUAGAAUUUUGUCUAACAUUUUUGUAAUUUUUUAAUCAACUUUUAUCCCAUAAUUUUUUUUUCAAAUUUUUGUAUAAUAUUUGUAAUAAUUUUAUAAAAUUUGAAUAUUGAUAUUUUGUAAAUUUUUUACAUGUUCAUCCAAAAUAUUUUAAAAUUAUAUGUCUUUAAAAUAUAUUAAAAGUUAAAGCAUGCAACCGAAGGUAAGAAAUAUUUGAAAAUUAAGGUCAAUUAUGGUGCCUAUAAUAUUUUAGUCACAAAUCCUUCUAUAAAAAACUUCCGUAGAUCAUAUUAAAAAUAAAAUAGAAAGGAAGUGUUAGGAAGAUGCGAAGAUGUAUGAUAAAUGAAUAAGACUAAGUAGUAUUUUAACUGAACAACUAAGACAACGACGAUAAAAAUAAGAAGGAAAAACAAACUUGUACUACGUCUUGGUAACACCGGAGAAACAUGAUUUAAAAAAUAAAAUUAAAAAAAUUUGAUAACUUACCAUCAACUUUGAUCAUUCCCAUGCUAUUUAUCAUAAUUUAUUUAUUAAAUAUACAAGAGCGGAGUAAUCGAAACCAUAUUGUCUAAAUUAUUGAAUUAAGUGAAGUCUCUCUUAUCUUCUAUCAUCGUCUACUUACAUAAAGCUUAUAACAGUAAAAAAUGAAUUUGAUGGCAUCUUUUCUUCUUUUAUAUGGCCAACUUCUCUAACUAUUAUUUUAAUUCCACAACUUCUCUAACUUAUCAUAAAUGACAAUUAUCGUUUCUAUCAAUGUUUGUUAUUUCCACUUAGUUUAUUCAUUGAUUCAUUGAAUAUACAAGGGCUGAGUCACACAAUCCAUUCAGGUCAAAUAAUUGAAUGAAGUCACUCUCCCUUAUGCCUUUUCAUGAUAUACUUAUUUAUUAGAUGAAACAAUUGUAAUAAUAAAAUAAGAAUUUUGUAAUAACAUCUUGUCUUCUUUCAUAUGGCCAAAUAGUCCUUGUUAAUAUUAUUUUAAUCUCACAAUUUCUCUAACUAAACAUAAAUAAAUAAGAAUUGAUUGCAAGCUAUUUUGUAAAUAAAUUAGAGUUGGAAAUGAAUUAAUCAUUUAGUUAAUGUAUGGUAGUUGCAUAACUAAUCUUAUUAGUUACAACAAUGCAUGGAGAGCAACAAUAAUGUAAUAUAAAAUAAAUAAAUGCAAUUAACAUUAUUUUCUUGAAACCCAAAUAGUUUAACUCUUUUAUGAUUUUUUUUUUACCUCAAGCUAAUUAUUCUAGAAUAUGUAGUGCACUAAGUUGAAAUCAGUAACUCCGACUUCAAGUCAUAUUAAAAAAAAAAAAUUAGGAAUUUGAAAACUAUUAAGAAUGGAUGUAUUAGUAAUUAGCUUUUAUAUCCAAACCUUAUGAUAUGUCUAAGAAAAAUUGAUAUCUAAAUUGAAGACUUCAUAUCAUAAAUUCCUUUUUAAGCUAAACAAUUUAAUGGUAUAUUUGCAAUUUUUAGAAAAUCCAAAUCAAGAUGUUAGGAUCAAAUGUGAAUUAUCAUUAAAUUAGUUGGUAAUUGAUACCAUAAAAAUGAAAUAAAAACUGUUAAUUAAUCAAGUUAUUUAAUUAAGUUGCCAAUUUUAUUCAAAACAUUAUUGAAUUCACUUCACAUGCUUUCUUGGUUUUAUAUAUAUAUAUAUAUAUAUAUAUAUAUAUAUAUAUAUAUAUAUAUAUAUAUAUAUAUAUAUUUUAGAAGUCGCCUUGAAAAUAGAUGAUUUCUCCAUAUAUAUGUAUUUUUUAAUCAAUGAAGAAAUUGUUUCUCUAAUUAAUUUUUCUUAAGAAAUCAUAUCUUAAAGAGAUGAUUUUUUUCUCUAAUUUUUUUGAAAAGAGAUUUUAUAAAUCACCUUUUGAAAAGAUAAUUUUUUUUAUUAUUAUCUUUUUAAAAUGAAAUAAAUCAUCUUUUUAAAGAGACGGUCUAAAAAAGAAAUAAUUUUUUUUUAUUUAACAAAAAUUACAAUAAAUUUAAAAUUAUUUUUAUCACUAUAAUAUUUUAGGAAUGGUCUUUUUAAACUAUUGUACUAAAAAAUCUUUGCUUACCCGGGGGUAGUGGGCAAUAAAGAAAUGAAAAGAAGUUGGCAGGGGGGCGUCANNNNNNNNNNNNNNNNNNNNNNNNNNNNNNNNNNNNNNNNNNNNNNNNNNNNNNNNNNNNNNNNNNNNNNNNNNNNNNNNNNNNNNNNNNNNNNNNNNNNGAAUGGAUGUAUUAGUAAUUAGCUUUUAUAUCCACACCCUUAUGAUAUGUCUAAGAAAAAUUGAUAUCUAUAUUGAAGACUUCAUAUUCCAUAAAUCCCUUUUUAAGCUAAACCAAUUUAAAUGGGUAUAUUUGCCAAUUUUAGAAAAAUCCCAAAAUCCAGGAUGGUUAGGGAUCAAAUGGUGAAUUAUCAUUAAAUUAGUGGGGUAAUUGAUACCAUAAAAAAUGAAAUAAAAACUGUUAAUUUAAUCAAGUUAUUUAAAUUAAGUUGCCCAAUUUUAUUCAAAAACAUUAUUGAAUUCACUUCACAUGCUUUCUUGGUUUUAUAUAUAUAUAUAUAUAUAUAUAUAUAUAUAUAUAUAUAUAUAUAUAUAUAUAUAUAUAUAUUUUAGAAGUCGCCUUGAAAAUAGAUGAUUUCUCCAUAUAUAUGUAUUUUUUAAUCAAUGAAGAAAUUGUUUCUCUAAUUAAUUUUUCUUAAGAAAUCAUAUCUUAAAGAGAUGAUUUUUUUCUCUAAUUUUUUUGAAAAGAGAUUUUAUAAAUCACCUUUUGAAAAGAUAAUUUUUUUUAUUAUUAUCUUUUUAAAAUGAAAUAAAUCAUCUUUUUAAAGAGACGGUCUAAAAAAGAAAUAAUUUUUUUUUAUUUAACAAAAAUUACAAUAAAUUUAAAAUUAUUUUUAUCACUAUAAUAUUUUAGGAAUGGUCUUUUUAAACUAUUGUACUAAAAAAUCUUUGCUUACCCGGGGGUAGUGGGCAAUAAAGAAGUGAAUAGAGGUGGCAGUGGGGCGUCAUCCAGCUGGACCCUCAAAUGCAAAAUAAAGAAGUGAAUAGACGUGGUGGGUUGGCUGUCAUCCAGCUGGACUCUCAAAUGCAAAAAUGGAGAUUCAUUUAUCCCAACAUGAAGCACCGUCUUCAACGAGAUGUUGAAGCCAAUACCUAUAUCUUCUUCUAAACCAACUCCUCUCUUCUGCUUGAUUCAUCAUCCCAAAGCUCUCCACACUCAUCAUUUCCCUCAAAACUACCUAGUUCUUAAUCCUCGUUGACAAAACCAUGGGCAACAUUUGCUCGAUUUCACUCCCUGCUGACCGCAUUGUCUCUAGCUUCUGGGAUGGCACUACUGAGCAUGCAAAUUACCUGCGCAAACUCCCUGAAAAUCUGGUAGAAUUGGGAACCGCUUGUGAAAGAUUGAGGGAGUUAAGGAACGAUGUGAAGAGGAUGGUGGAUAUUGCUGAGAGGGAACAAAUGCAGCCGCUGGACCAAGUACAAGGGUGGCUUUCAAGGGUUGAAACACUGGAAACUCAAGUCACUCAACUGAUUGGAGAUGGCACCGAGGAGGUUGAGAAGAAAUGUCUGGGUGGUUGCUGUCCUAGGCGUUGCAGGACCAGAUACAAGUUGGGGAAGAGAGUAGCUAGAAAGUUGAAAGAAGUUGACAUUCUAAUGAGCCAAAGACCUUCGGAUGUGAUGGCUGAGAGGUUACCUUCACCUCGCCUAAGUGAAAGGCCUAGUCAAGCAACUGUCGGCAUGAAUUCCAGAAUUGGUAAGGUUUGGAGUAGCCUUCAUCAAGAACAAGUGGGAAUUAUCGGCCUAUAUGGAUUAGGAGGAGUUGGGAAAACCACCCUUUUAACCCAAAUCAAUAAUGCUUUUACUAAAAGAACCCAUGAUUUUGAUUUUGUGAUCUGGGCUACAGUUUCCAAAAAUGUAAACCUUGAAAACAUUCAGGACGACAUCUGGAAGAAGAUAGGGUUUUGUGAUGAUAAAUGGAAAAACAAAAGUCGAGAUGAGAAAGCUACGAGCAUAUGGAGAGUCCUGAGCGAAAAGAGGUUUGUGCUGUUGCUAGAUGAUUUAUGGGAGCGGUUGGAUUUAUCAGACGUCGGGGUCCCAUUCCAAAAUAAGAAAAAUAAGAUAGUAUUCACCACUCGAUCAGAAGAGGUGUGCGCUCAAAUGGAAGCUGAUAAGAAGAUCAAAGUGGAAUGCCUAACAUGGACAGAAUCCUGGGAAUUGUUUCGAAUGAAGCUUGGAGAAGACACUCUCGAUUUCCAUCCUGAGAUACCAGAGCUCGCUCAAGCCGUCGCACAAGAGUGUUGCGGUUUGCCACUUGUGCUAACUACCAUGGGCAGGGCCAUGGCUUGUAAGAAGACACCGGAGGAAUGGAAGUAUGCAAUAAAAGUGUUACGAAGCUCUGCCUCAAAAUUUCCAGGUAUGGGGGACAGAGUGUUUCCUCUUUUAAAAUACAGUUAUGAUUGCUUACCCACCGAAGUUUCCAGAUCUUGCUUCUUGUAUUGUUCUCUAUAUCCGGAAGAUUAUCAAAUGCCAAAAUUAAGUUUGAUAAACCGUUGGAUUUGUGAAGGCUUUUUAGAUGAAUUUGAUGACAUGGAGGGAGCAAAAAACCAGGGUUACAACAUUAUUGGCACUCUGAUUCAUGCAUGUCUAUUAGAAGAAGGUGAUGUUGAUUAUAAAGUAAAACUGCAUGAUGUAAUCCGUGAUAUGGCAUUGUGGAUAGGUUGUGAAACUGGGAAGGAGCAGGACAAGUUCUUGGUGAAGGCCGGCAGUACGUUAACUGAAGCUCCUGAAGUUGCUGAAUGGAUGGGGCCAAAAAGGAUUUCACUGAUGGAUAACCAAAUUGAGGAACUAACAGGGUCUCCUAAGUGCCCCAAUCUCUCAACUUUGUUUCUUGCGGAUAAUAGUUUGAAGAUGAUCUCUGAUACUUUCUUCCAGUUUAUGCCAAGUCUAAGAGUUUUAGACUUGUCAAAAAAUAGCAUAACUGAAUUACCCAGGGGAAUCUCUAAUUUGGUUUCAUUACAGUAUCUCAACCUAUCACAAACUAACAUAAAAGAGUUGCCAAUUGAGUUGAAGAACCUGGAUAAAUUGAAAUGCUUGGUGUUGGUUGACAUGCCUCAACUUUCUUCAAUUCCAGAGCAGUUAAUAUCAAGUCUUUCAAUGUUGCAAGUUAUUGAUAUGUUCAACUCUGGAAUUUCUGAAAGAACAGUACUCAAAGAUGGUAUUUUGUCUGAUGAUAAUGAAGCCUUGGUUCAGGAAUUGGAGUCCUUAAAGUACUUGCAUGGUUUAGGCGUCAGUGUAAAAAGUGCCUCUGCUUUCAAAAGGCUUCUAAGCUCUUACAAGCUAAGAAUCUGCAUUUCCGGUCUAUGCCUCAAGAAUUUCAAUGGUUCAAGCUCUCUCAAUUUAACAUCUCUCAGCAAUGCAAAGUGUCUUUCUAGCCUCUAUAUCUCAAAAUGUGGCUCGUUGGAAGAUUUGGAGAUAGAUUGGGCUGGGGAAGGAAAGGAAACAGUGGAAUCUAAUUACCUUAACUCAAAGGUCAGUUCCCACAACAGUUUCCACAGCCUUGUGUGGCUAGGAAUCGAAAGGUGUUCGAGAUUGAAGGAUCUAACAUGGCUUGUUUUUGUUCCUAACCUUAAAGUGCUUACAAUAAUUGAUUGUGAUCAAAUGCAAGAAGUAAUAGGUACCGGUAAAUGUGGUGAAUCUGCAGAGAAUGGAGAAAACCUGAGUCCAUUUGUCAAACUCCAAGUACUUGAGUUAGAUGAUCUACCACAAUUGAAGAGCAUAUUUUGGAAAGCCCUGCCAUUUAUCUACUUAAAUACAAUCCAUGUACGUAAUUGUCCACUUCUAAAGAAGCUGCCACUCAGCGCCAACAGUGCCAAGGGAAAUCGAAUUGUCAUUGCAGGACACAACAAGUGGUGGAAUGAAGUAGAGUGGGAGGAUGAGGCUACCCAAAAUGUUUUUCUUCCAUGUUUCGUACCUGUUAGAGAAUAAGGGGCUGCAGCAAUCUCAGAGAGGCUACGAUGCGAUUCUAGGUGAGACCCUUUUCACAAUUAACUAUCAUUUGAUCCUGAAUAGGUAUUGGUCCAAAUAAAGCAUUCAAUUAUAGCAUCUUUUCAUGGUUGGUCCAAAUAUGUUGUUUCUCUUUGAAUUGCAAUAUUACAUUUUUUGUAUUCUAGGGAUUGUGAGAUGCAUUUUAUGAUUUGCGUAAACAAAAUUGAGUUCGAUGGCUUUCCUUAAUUGCUCUACUUCAAAUGAAGAGCAUGUACAUGAUAUCUUUGAUGGGAAACAAUCUAAUGUACAUAAUUUCAAAAAUAUAAUCAUAUUUUCAAAUAGAAAAGAUAGUUGAGUCAGGGUACUCCUAGAUCAACUAGCAAUUGUAUCUUUGUUCUUGGAGAAGCAAGCAUUCUUGAGAGAAAAAAAAUCAAGUCCCACUUCGUACAAAAAUUUUAGGGGAGAACUUGCCCAAGUCAUGGGUAGACCAUAAUUGAGACACCUUAGCUAAGGGUCCCAUUUGGUUCCCUAUCCGUGUAUAUCAAAUACACCUUUUCAUAUUGUAAUGGGAAUUGGAGUGUGGGAUUUAUACAACAUUAAAGCAUGUAUUCCUUAAUUUUGCAGUAAGUUAAAGAGGAUGAAACAUUUUUUAUUUGUUGCAAUUCAAGAGCAUGUACUAAAAUGCUCUCCCCUUGUGUUCAAAAUAGAAGAACUCAUUUAUCUUAUAUCCUAUAAAACUUUUUUCAAAAUUUUGAGAAAGUGAAAAAUUUUCACUUCCUUAAAUUUUUAAAUUUUUUUAAUCAAGUGUUUUCAAGUAUAUAAGUUAUUUACUUGUUUUUGUAUAAUAAUUCUUAUAUUUUAUAUAAGACUUCCUAUUUUAAAAAUAAAAAAUAGAAUAUGUAUCCAACCAUACACUAAGUGAUUCUCUUAACAAAAGUACCAUAAAUAAAAAUACUUUAAUGAGAAUCACUCUCAAACGUGUUCUAAGUUAUAUUUUCUAAUGGACUAGCUUUUCUAUCAAAAAAGUUCUUGAGUAGACAAUAAUUUAUAAUUAAAUGCAAAGCAUUUUUACUCCAUAGUAAUUUUUAUUUACCUUUUUCCAGUUUAAUAUCCAUCUCUCAAUAUCUUGGUAUUUUAAACUAAAGAUAUAAUUUUAUUAGUUGUGUGCAUGACAUUAUCUUAUAUAUCCAUGUAAGGUUUUUUCUAAAAUAAAUAAUUAAAAAUUUCAUUAUUUAAAAAAAUAGAAUCAAUAAUAUCUUAUUUUUAUAUAAUACCAAAAUUAACAAAUUUCUUAGCAUUUUCAUGUUCAUAAAAAAGAAAUAAAUAAGUAAAUGUGUGAAACUAAUAAAAAUAAUUGUUGAUUUAGGGUAAUUAUUUGGAAUAUAAUAAUAUUUAAACAAUGGAGCAUUAACUUAACUUACCUAUAUCAUUUUACCCAACAUAAGUUUUUUAUUAUUAUUUUAACAUACUAUCCAAUCACACUUUUUUUUGUUUAUAUCCAAAUAAUAAUUUCUUCUAUUUUACACUAUUUAAGAUGGGGUUUAGCAAAAAAUGGAUGCUGAUUUUGUUGUAUCAAAGAUUCAACAUUCUUUUGUUAAAGGCCGUUAAAUUUUGGAUGUAAAUUUGAAAGCCAAUGAAGCCAUAGAUUUUAGACUAAAGAGUUUGAGAGGAUGAGUGAUAUGUAAGUUGGAUAUUCAGAAGUCCAACAAUCAUGAGAUUUGGCAACGAGUGAAUAUGUUGGAUACAAUUCCUCAUGUCUAUUGUAACAAUUUCACUGCUUGUGAAUGACUCUCUUUUUGGUUUCUUUCAAAGUCCAAGUGGGUUGAGACAAGGGACCCUCUUAUCUCCUUCUUUGUUUGUUCUAAUUAUGAAGACUUUUAAUUGUUUUGUUACCAAGGUGACAAGAUGGGGCUUCUUUUAUGACUUUAAAGUAAGGGAAGAGGAAGAAAAUGGUAGGAAGUCUCCCAUUUACUCUUUGCAUUAUGAUAAAUUUCUUUUUUUAUUUUUUAAUUAUGGACUCGGUUUUGAUGUGUAGUCAUCUCAAAAUUGAGAAUAAGCUCAAAGAAAAGUGAAAAGUCCCCAAUAUUGAAGAAUUAACCUCUUUGUUAGGUUCUAAGGUGGUUAAGUAGCCCUCCUCCUAUCUUUUUUUUUUUUUUUUGGAUAAUCGAAGAACCUUCUAAAUGCUUAGGACUCUCCAUAGGGACCCAAACCUUUGCCCCCCCUCCCUAACAAUCGGCACUAGGUAAAUCAAAGUAUCAUCAAUAGCAAGAUUCAAAAUCAAGAUCAUAUGCCUCUUACUGGAACUACAUCUCCCAUCAUUCACCCUAACCAACUAGGCUACCUGGCGGGCUAGUUACCUUCCUUCUUAGUCUUCCUAGGUUCUCCCUUCAAAGUCUUCUACUAUGUCAAAUGUUACGAAGGAGAGGCUACUUAAAAGGUUAGCCUCAUGGAAGUGCUAUUUUUGUCUACAAAUGAAGAUUAACCCUUUUGAAAAGCAUUUUAUCCAAUGUGGCCAUUUACUAUUUGUCACUGUUUGUUAUCCCAAAAAGGUUCAUAUGAGGUUAAAAAUGAUUAAGAAAGUGUUGGUGGCAAACAAGUUUUUUAGAGAAAAAACCUUAUUUAGUCAACUCAUAUACAAUGUAUUUAGAUAAUAAAAUUAAAUUAAAAAUGGAAACGUUGAUAUAAUCAUUUUGUUCCCAAAUAUAUAAUUUAUAUUAUUAAAAUUCAAAAUAAUUAUAAAAAGGAAAAUAAUUAAAAAUAACCAAAAAUAUAUUUUUUUAAGUGAAGACACUUUUAACUUUUCUAACUGUUUUCUAACUUUCACAUAUCAAUAAUAAAUAAAUAAAUAUAUAAUUAUUUUUUACUUUUUAAUUAAAAUAAUUUUAGAAUAUUAAUUUUUAGACCCAGGGCAUGUGCAAAACAAUAUUGUUUAUGGUCAAAAUGACAAUUGAAUAGGAUGGUGCAGUCCAUCCACUCCAAUUUUUAAAACCAUGUUUUUAAACAAGGCUCCAUUGAGUAAGUAGAGUUGCAGAUUUGCCAUAUAUAGGGAUAAGCUUCAAAGACAACCAUCUUAGAUAAAUUUUUGGUGAGGAGGGAGGAUGGUAGGACUAUGGAAAGAAAUUAGGAAAUGAUGGAAGGUGUUUCAAACAAGAAGUGGCUUUUGAGCUAUCCUCUUUUUUAUUAUAUACUAACUAAACACAUUAAUUAUUCCACCAGCCCAACUCUGUGUAGGAAUCAAACUUCCCAUAUAGAACAAUUUUAGCUCACAGAAGUAGACAUCCAACAUUAGUAAGACCUUUGUAUGUCAGUACCUAGCAUUUAUAAUGCAGAACAAGAAACUACAAAACACUUCUUCCUGAGGUUGUACAAAUUUACACCUGCAUUAAAUGAACUCCUCCAAAUGGGCUACAUCAGACAUGACACAUUAUGAAUAAGGUAUGAAUAAGGCUUUACACUUAGGACCAAAUCAACAUAUAUUUAUAUUGGGCUGAUUUUGAUGCAAAUCAAAUAAAACUUUUACAUUUAGUACCAUCGUCCAACAUUAAUUCACCAUGGUCCUAGAUGGUCAUGCAUGUUUUGUUUCCCAUAUUUUUAUUAGUCGUCCAUGGAAGAACCUACAUGGGUCAUUUAGAGGGGCCCAUCACAAUAACACAGCCCAAUAAAAUUAAUGAAGUCUUAGAAACUGAUUCUAUGAUCCAUGCAUGCAACAAGCUGAGAAAAUAAUCUUUCAAGUUAAGAUUGGACAGUUGAGCUCCCUUAGAAACUCUACCACAUUUCAAAUCUCAUUUUCCCUCAUUUAUGUAUUGGCAUACACUGCCCUUUAUCUGCUCACAAAGAAUUAGAGCUUACCAAGAAAAAGUUCCCGUUCAACUCAAACAGUGUAGAGGAUUGUGAAGUAGUUCAAGGAGAGGAAGAGUGGCUGAGUGAGUUAGAACGGGAGGACAAAGCUACUCUAAAUUCCUUUUUGCCCCGUUUCAAAGCAACAUAAGAAUAAGGAGCUUAAGAAUGAUGUACAGUCUUCUAUUUUCAUGUCUAUUUGAUACUUGGAAUGUGUAUUGUUCAUUUGUGGGUUGAUUCUCUCCCCACCCUUGCAAUCCCCACACACGGACAAAACAAAGGAGAUGUAUGGUGUUAUGAGAUGUUUAUGACAAGUGUCUUGUAAUUGCGUUAUGUAUAAUGAAGUACUGAGUCUGUAUGGGGCUGUUUAAAAUUGUUGUGUUCUAAGUAUCAUUUUGAUAUGAUUUUUAUUUUAAAAAAAAUUAUAUUAAUUCCCAUAUUGAUUUUAAAUAUUAUUUCAAAAUGUUAAAUAUUUCAAAAAAUUUACAUGGUAAUUCUAAAUAUUGGUAAAAUCAGACUAUUAAUAUUUUGUACAUUUUUAAUAUUUUCAUCCUUAAUUGAAAAUAUUUUCCAAAGCAACAUAAGAAUAAGGAGCUAGGGAAUGAUUCCCAACCUUCUAUUUUCAUGCCUAUUUGAUGCUUGGAAUGUGUAUUCUUCAUUUGUGGUUAAUUGCUUUUACGUUUAUAGGAAGAAGGGCCCAAACUCCCUUUGUUGCUCCUCUAUUCAUCCUUGUAAUCCCCACGCAUGGACAAAACAAAGGAGAUGGAUGGCUUUAUAUGUAUGACAAGUGUCUUGUAAUUGUGUAUGUGGAAUAAAGUUUGAGUCGUUAUUUCAAACUAUUAUGUUGUAAGAAUUAGUUGGAAAUGAUUUUUAGUUUUAAAAAUAAAAAAUAAUGUUUCAAUUUGAAAUGUCUUUAAUGAAAGUGUUUUUAAAAGAAUUACCUAUAAAUGUUUCUCCAAAAAACAACAAGUAAUUUUUUAAUACUAUAAAUAAUUUCUUUUAAAUUUUAAAAGUAUUGUUUAAAUUUUAUCAAAUACCUAAUAUUUUUUAAAGAACAUUUUUAGGUUGACAACGUUUUUCAAAAAGCAUUGUCAAAUAGACUCUUAACUCUUAUAUUGAUUUUAAAAACUAUUUCAAAAUUUUAAAAAUUCAAAUGUAAAUUUAAAAAACAUAAUGUAAGUAUGAGUUACUAUAUUUUAUAUAAAAGUGACUAUUAAUUUCUAUUUCUAAAAAUAAAAAUAAGAAAUGAAUUCAAAUUAUUAGUACUUAAUAAUUAACUAAUUAAUUAGUGUUUGAAUACAAAAAUAUAUAUAAUAAAUUAAUAAGUUUCUUAUAUGUUUGCAAAAGUAUCUAUAUAGAGUGUUAUUUAUUGAAAAUGUAUGAUAAAUUAAUAAGAUUCUCACUUAAGUUGCAUUUUAUUUGAAUUUUAGAAAUAAUAGUUAUAAAAUUAGAAGGAAAUCAGGUUGAUAUUGUCAAAUGAUGAUGAAACAUAAUUUAGAAAUUAAAACAGGAAGAAAAAAUUAAAUAAUUGUAUAUUCUAUAUUAUAGUGGAGGCAUCAAAUAUUUGUCUAUUACCAUUAUUAUUAUUAUUAUUAUCAUUUCCACCUAAUGUAUUCAUGGAAUACACAAGAGUUGAGUCACAUAAUCACCAAAUAAAUAAUAGGACAAAGUCCAACUCUCUCAUCUUACGAUGAUAUAUAUACCUUUUUUUAUAUUAAAUGAUAAAGCUAUAUGUAAUUCUAAAAAGAAUCUUUGCAACAACAUCUUGUAUUUUUGCAUGUGGUCAAAUAAUCAUCCUCAUUAUUAUUAUUAUUUUAAUACCACAACAACUACUCUACCUAAUCAUAAAUAAUAGCAAAUGGUUGCAAGCUGUUUUCCCAAUAAAUUAAGUUUUGAAAAGAAUCAUUUCAACUACGUACUCUAACUAAUCAUCAACAAUAAGAAAUGGUUACAAGUUGUUCUCCCAAUAAAUUAAGUCUUGAAUUCUCCCAGCAAAUGAAGUUUUGAAAAGAAUCCUUUAGUUGUAUGGUACUUUACUAUCUUUAUAUGUAAGGAUAUUUGUUCUCAUAUGUAUAUAAGGAUUUUUUUUUUUAUUUAAAAGAAUCACUCAAUAUGUGUAUUAUUAAUUAGUUUAUUACUUUUUAGAAUUUUUUCUAACAUUUUUGUAAUUUUUUAAUCAAUUUUUAUCCCAUAUUUUUUUUCUUCAAAUUUUUGUAUAAUAUUUAUAAUAAUUUUAUAAAAUUUGAAUAUUGAUAUUUUGUAAAUUUUUUACAUGUUCAUCCAAAAUCUUUUUAAAUUAUAUGCCUUUAAAAUAUAUUAAAAGUGUAAAGCACGUAACCAAAGGUAAGAAAUAUUUGAAAAUUAAGGUCGAUUAUGGUACCUAUAAUAUUUUAGUCACAAAUGCUUCUAUAAAAAACUUUUGUAGAUCAUAUUAAAAUAAAAUAUUAAGGAAGUGUUAGGAAGAUGCGAAGAUGUAAAAUAAAUUAAUAAGAUUAAGUAGCAUUUUAAUUGAAUAACUAAGACAGCGAGGAUAAAAAUAAGAAGAAAAAACAAACUUGUAUACGUCUUAGUAACACUAGAGAAACACGAUUUAGAAAAUAGAAUAAAAAAAUUGGAUAAUUUAUUAUCAACUUUGAUCAUUCCUAGGCUAUUUAUCAUAAUUUAUUCAUUAAAUAUUAUACAACAGCGGAGUCAUAGAAACCAUAUUGGCUAAAUAAUUAAAUUAAGUGAACUCUCUCUUAUCUUCUAUCAUGGUCUACUUAGAUAAAGCCUAGAAUAGUAAACAAGGAAUUUGAUGGCAUCUUUUCUUCUUUCAUAUGGCCAACUUCUCUAACUAUUAUUUUAAUCCCACAACUUCUCUAACUAAUCAUAAAUAACAAUUAUCAUUUCUAUCAAUGUUUGUUAUUUCCACUUAAUUUAUUCAUUGAUUCAUUGAAUAUACAAGGGUUGAGUCACAAUCCAUAGGGGUGAAAUAAUUGAAUGAAGUCACUCCCCCUUAUGCUUUUUCAUGAUAUACUUAUUUAUUAGAUGAUACAACUGUAAUAAUAGAAAAAAAAAAUUUGCAAUAGCAUCUUGUCUUCUUUCAUAUGGCCAAAUAGUCCUCGUUAAUAUUAUAAUACCACAUCAACGAGCUUAGAACAACAAAGAUACCCAAUAUAUUCUCAUUAAUAAUCAGUUGUAUUGUCAAGUAAUUUUUAAUUUAACUAUCAAGGUGUAAUUGAAAUAAUUUACCAAUUUUUUUCCAGGUUUUAGAUGAUUAUGGAUCAUAAUUCUUAUACUUUAAUUUUAAAUUUUCAUAAUUGGACUAGUUUUUCCACCAAAAAACCUUGAGUGGACAAUAAAUUAUAAUUAAAUGCAAAAUAUUUUUAUAAACAAAUAAUUAAAAAUCAUGAUUAAAAAUAGAAUAAAUAAUGCCUUCUUUUCAUAUGUUACUUGAAUUAACUAAUUUCUUAACAAUUUUAUAGUUAUAGAAAAUAAAUAAAUAAAGACGUAAAUCUAAGGAGACCGGAUGUAGGAAAUCUUAAUCAUAAGAACAUUCUUCUCUAUUAUGGUAAUUAUAUUACGAAAUAUGAAUUUCAUUACCGAGUCUACCCAUAUCAAUGGUAAUUCUUGAUAUUUAUAGUAUUUUAUGAUAACACAAUUAAUGUUUAAAUAUCAAUUAAAAAAAUUAAAAUUGGUUAAAAUGUUUGGGCUUAAUAUUAGGCCUCCAUUAUGAAUUGGUUUUCCUAAUUUGCCUAAACCUCGUUGUUUAGGACAAGAUAAAAAAAAAACUCAAAAUAAAAAAUUUGGAUCAAGACAAACAUUCAAACAUCCUUGUUGGCAUUUAAAUGUUGGGACUUUUAAAUUUGUUUCCUACUUUCUUUUUAACUCAAAAAUCUCAUUUUAAAAAUAUUUUAAAAUUAAGAAACUCUUUACAAUUGUUUGUUAGGGUUUUUCUAAUAUAAAAGAGUUUUUUGUUUGAUUGAAAUUUUGAGAACUUCCAAAAACUCUAGAGAAUAUAAUCAUUCUUAAAGGUUGUAACUCCAAUUUUUGAACCUUUUAAGAUAUUUCUUGAAAGAACCUUUUGUCUAUAAUAAGGGUUCAAGACUCAUACAACAAAAUUUCAAUAAGGGAUUCAAGAGAUCUACUAAAGAGCACAGGGAGUAACGCGUGAGGAAUGUGGAAAAGGAAUGUAAGUACUAUUGGUAUAAGACUUCCUAGAAUAGGUACAUUCAAUCAAGUAAAAAUAUAUAUUAUUUUCUCAUAUUUAGUAGAUUAUUUAACAGCUGAGAGACCACCAACAAUUUUUUACAUUUAGGUCACUAGUUUGGUUUUUUCAUAUUAUAUCCCAUGUUUAUUAUGUGAUUGGAAAUCUAUAGGAUUUAUCAAAUUUUACUUAAUAUCAAAAUUAUUUAACAGUUAAGAAACCAUCCACGAUUUUUUACAUUUACCCUACUAAUUGGUUUUUCCAUAUUAUAUCUUGUGUUUAUUAUGUGAUUGGAAAUCUAUGGGAUUCAUCAAAUUUUACUCAAUAUUGAUAUUAUUGAUAAAGAACACCAAAUUUAGGGUCGAUUACUUCAACUACCUAUUAAUCCCUUCGAGGCAAUUUUAUAUAUUAAGACAUAACAAUUCUUUCAUUAUUAUUCAUAUGAAAGGGUGAAUCAUGCAAAAUAUAUUUCUCUCAAAAGUUAAAUAGUAGCUAUGACUUAAAAUAGAAUAAUUCCCUCAUUUUAUAUAAUACAUAAAUUAAUUAAUUUAUAGUUACUUUCAUAUUUGAACAAAAGUUCUAAAGUAUUAACAUUAAAUAUUUAAAUGAGAAAUGAUAGGAAAUUAUGGUUUUCUCUUGAAAUUCUCUGUUAUGUCCCAAUCUAAGUUUCAUCAUGGCCAACUUUAAGAAGAAGAAGCUACAAUUCAUUUUGGGUUAGUUACCAUGAAGGUAAUAAAUAUUACACCCAAUUAUUAAGAAAAAAAUAUACUAAUUUCAUAACCAUGGACCUUUAAUAUAUAUGACACCUUUAAAAAGUGUAAUUUUUCUUGAUAAAACUCUAAAAAUGAUAGUAUAUUUAUUUUUUAGGCCAUCUAAUUAUUUGGAAGAAUGGCCAAUACUUAAACUAAAAAUUUCUAGCUUUGUUCCAACUAUAAUUGAUGAAAUUUAUGGAGAAAAAAAAAGCAAAACUAAGAAGACAAUAGUGUUGGAAUAAAAUUAAAAAAAAAAAAAAAAACUUAGGAACAAUUACAAAAAUCAUCCAUACUUUCAUUUAUAUAUCAGUUUAGUCUUUUUAACUUUUUUAAUGUAUAAUAUCAAUCAUAAAUUAUAUCCAAAUGUCAAAUAAGGCCUUUUGCUAAUAAGCAAAUAAAUAUUGGUAUUAGUUUUUAUAUCAUAUAUUUGGAUAUUUUCAAUUUAUCUACAUACUUUUCAUGAGACUUUUUUUCUUUUACAAAAAAUAUUAAUCAAAAUGUCAAGGUAUAAUUUAAGAUUAAUGUUACUUAAAAAAUAAAAUUUAGACACUAAAUUGAGAUAGUGGUAAAAAUUUUAAAAAUGAUUUUUUGUAAUUUUCUCUAACGUCUCUCUGUGCCUUUUUUGCUUUUUUUCCCAUUCAAUGCCCUCCACUCUUCUCCACCGCUACGGCUCCUUCUCAGGCCUGCUUUGAUCAAAUCAAAAGUCCUCAAACUGAUCCAAGCUGUAUUUAGGCAUUGUCUUGUAGCUCUAAAAAUUGAAAAGCCUAGUCGAAUUCCUUUUUAAAAUCUUUAUUAAAAAUCCCAAAAUUAAUUAUUAAGUUCUAUAUUAAAUUAAUCAUUUGGAAUUGUAUUGCCAUAGUAGUUAUUGUAAUAUCAUGAAAGGGUAAAGAAAAAGACAAAGAAAGCAAUGGAGUUCAAAACAACAAUGGAUGGAGCAAGAUUGAGGCAAAUUAGCUUUAGCCUAGGGUCCCAUGUGCCCCAUCUCCCUCAAACAAAUCCAACUUUACUAAUUCCACCCUCAACAAAUUGUUACAAAUAAAAACGCUUUAAUAGAACUCCCAAAACGAGUUCCAAGUCACUAAAAUGUUUUUCUUCGAUAUUUCAUAUAUAUCACCAAAAAAAAAUGAAUUACAACACUAUGGAAUAAUCUUCAAAAUAAUUUUAGUUGACUCAUUUCAUUUGGAUCUUGCAAUCUUAUACUCUAACAAUGCUCAUUCAUCAAUUUCAUUAGUAAAAAUAUUAUUAAAAUUAAUAAUUAUUAAAAAAAUUAAAUUAAUGACCUUUUUCAAAAGUCAUAUCUAUUUAGUACAAUAAAAUAAAACUUUCCUAUAUUAUGGUAGAAGAUGGUGGAGUACCAUCCAAAGAGAAAAGAAUUAAUUAUAAAAAUAAAAUAAAAUAAAAUAAAAUUAUAAAAACACUCCAAAUAAAAUUAGGUAAAACUUUAUAUAGAAGAGAAAAAUUAAGAUAGAUAGAUUUGAAGUAGCAAAUAAAAAAACAAUUAUUCAUUUUAAAUAUAGUUUUCAUUUUAUUUUAUUUUUCCAUUUUUUAUCGUAUAUUUUCUUCAAAAUUUAGGGAAAUCAAGAAGGGCUAUGAAAACGGAUGAGUGAUGUAAAAAGGGGAGAUGGAUCUAAUCGGGUAAUAAAUGAAGUGUUUGGAUAUUAGAAGAUAUAGAGUUUAGGCUUUUAUUAGUAAUAUUUCUAUGAAAAAGCAAAAAAAUUAUUAACCUUUUUUAAAACUUUUUUUUCAAAAUUUUGAAAUUUUUGAGAAAGUAAAAUUUUUUUAAUCUUUAAAUUUUAAGAAAUUUAAAAAGUGUUUUCAAGUAUAAAAAAUAUAUACUUACUUUUGUAUAAGAAUUUCUAUAUUUUAUUUUAUUUUAAAAACAAAGUUGAAAAAUGUAUCCAAACAUAUACUAACUAAUUAUCUUGAAAAAUGUUUUUAAUGGAAGGGUACUAACAAAAAAGCUGCAAAUAAAAACACUUUAAAUAAAAUCACUCUCAAACAAAUUCUAAGUUAUAAUAAAUAUUUUUCAUCAAUAUUUCAGAUCACCAAAAGAAAUAAAGGACUACAACAUUAAGGAAGAAGCUUCAAAAUUAUUUUAAUUUAAACUUAUUUCAUUUGUAAUCUUGCAAUCUCACGCCCUAAAUAUUCCCAUUCAUCAAUUUCAUUGGUAAAAUUUCAUUAGAAUUAAUAAUUAUUAAAAAUAAAUAAAUAAAAAAUCCCUUUAAAAAAUCAUAUCCAUUUAAUCACAACAAAAUAAAACUUUCUUGUUAUCAUGGUAAAGUAAGUCCAAGAGAGAAAAGAAUUGGUUUUAAUAAAUAAAAAGAAAAACAAAACUUUGAAAAUUUUCAAAUAUUCCAAAAUUUCUAAAAAAGUUCCACAAUCAAAGUUUUGUGAUCCCAAAAGAAGGAAAGACUUUACAAGUUAUCGACAAUUUCAAAUUUUCAAUUGGAGUUGUAAUAAAAUUUAAAUUAGAUUACAAAUCACAAUUUCAAUUAAUCUCAUUUCUUGUUAAUUCAAAUAGCAAGAAGAAAGUUGAAUAAAUUAAGGACCACUAGUCUCUCUUUAUCAGAAAUGUCUUCAAGCUUUUAAUGCCUUCACAUAUCCUUUUCAAUUUGAAUGCUACUACCUACCUAAUAAUAGUGGUCAAAAUUUUAAAGCAUUCACGUAUCAUUUUCAACUUGAGUACUAUUGUCCCCCUAAUAAUUGAAAUGUCAUUUUCUAAAAGUUUUCUCACUUCUUUUACAACCAUUAGUCGUCUAAACAUUUCAACCUUAUAAUAGGGCAUAUUCUACUUGAUAAUACUUAUUUUUUGUCUAAACAUUUCAACCUUAGGAUAAGGUAUAUUCUACUUGAUAAUACUUGUGUUACUAAUGAGAAGGUAUUCAAUACAUCUAUUCUAUCAUAUUAGUAUGAUAAUAUAGUAUAAAUGUCUAUUCAUAUUUAUCAAAUAAGGAAGGAAAAAGAAGUUAUUUAGAUUUGAAAAUAAUUAAUAAAAGUUUUAAAUUAUUAGAAAAAUGAAUUAUAAAUUUUUUUUUAAUAAAAUAACUUAAAUAUCAUUUAAUAUCGAAAAUAUAAAUAAAUUAUUAUGCUACAUUAGUAAGCAUUAUUAUAAUCGAGUGCAUUGGCAAGUAAUUUUCAAUUUGACCAUCAAGGUGUAAUUGCAAAAAAAAAAUUAUAAAAAAAAAAAUGAAAAGAGUGAAAAGAGAAAGUUAGGAAGAAAAGGGAAGGGAAAAAAGAAGGAAAAUGAGGAUUUUUGUUAUAGAAGACUUGAGAGGAAUCUAAGAGAGAUGCAACAUUUUUUUUUGUUUGUUUAUUUAUUUAUAUUUUUUCUUAUUUAUUCGUUUUUGUUUUUUUGUAUUAUAAUUAAACUGGAGAAUGUGUUUAGUUUAUAUAAACGAGAUUAGACUUUUCUAAUUUAGAAAAUUAUUUCUAGUACCAUAAAUUUUUUUAGAUCCAAAUAUUGUUACUUUAUUUUUUGAUAUAUUUAUUAUAUAUAUAUAUAUAUAUUAAGAAGUUUUUUUAUAAUUAAUUUUCUGUUAUCAUAUAAAUUGAGUCAUUGCUAUAUAUUAAUAUGAAUAAAAAUUGUAAAAUCAUUUUUCUUGACUAAUCUUGUAAAAUUAUGUAAAUUGAUAUUAUUUCUCAUAAUAAUUGUCAAUAAAAUCAAAGAACCAUUUUUUAUGUUUUUAUUUUAACAUUAAUAAAGUCAAUAAUCAUUUUUAAAUAAAUUUUGUGAGGUUGUAUGAAUUGAGGUUUCUUUUGUAUAUUUACAUUAAUAAAAAAAAAUCGUUUCUUUUGAAUUAUUAUUGUGAGACCACAUACAUUGUAUGUGGCAUCAAUGAAAUAAGGAAAAUCAUUUACUUAACAAGGUUCAUUUUUUACUAUUAAUUUUUCCCUUUAUCCAUGUAUCAACUUUCCAUAUGUUUAUACUUCUUCAUUUUGUGUCUGAUUUAUUAUUUAAUUAAUUCUUUUAAUUUCAAUCAUUCUACUAAAAAUAAUAUAAAAAGCCACUGACGGAGUUAGAAAAUUGAGCAGUCAAGAUGUUGGUAUUUAUUGGAGUGUAGGUAAAUAAGAAACAAAUUACCUUUGUGGGCUACUAGUAGUAAUUGAAUUCAUGUUUUGUCUAAAGAAAGGAAUCAAAUUUCUCUUUCUGCAAAAAUUUUAGGGGAGCACUUGCCCUAGUCAUGGGAAACCUUUAACUGGGGCACCUUAGCUAAGGUCCCAUUUGGUGCCCCAUCUCUCUUCAUCAGACACAACCUUUAAUAAUUGUAAUGGGUACUAACUAGAUGAUUCCACCAAAUAAUUUUUCAUACAUAUUAUCAGCUCACUUUUUUGUUUAAAUAAAAUAAUAAGUGAUUCUAUUUAAAAACAUUUCUAAUAUAACCAUUAUUAACAAAAUAAACCAAAAGCGUUUGAAUCAAAAUUAGUCUUAAAUAGACUCCUAUGAAGAAGUUGAAGAAGUUGUCUUCAAGUACUAAUAACUCCUAUGAACAUACUUGUAAUUUGAAAACCUUAAGAGUCAUGAAUGAGUUAAAUUGAGAAGAUUAAGAGUGUAUUUGGGUGCAACAAAUCUCGACUUUCUUAGCAUUAAAGUCCUACUGGGUAAACUUAAGGCCAUGCUACCACAGAGAGGCAAGGGAUUUGACCCCAAAAUGUACAAUUUUUCUUUGUUAUAUCAAUACAAACAACCAUCUGUCCAUUAAUUUUAAUUUAAGUGAAAUCGUUUUACUCCAGAAAUCAGAAGUUGCAAUGGAAGGCGUUCAUAAUUUUGGGUUGGACAAAACGUGCUUACUGGGGGUAGUGGACAAUAAAGAAGCGAAUAGAGGUGGUAGGGGCCUAUCAUCCAGCUGGACUCUCAAAUGCAAAAAUGGAGAUUCGUUUGUCCCAACUCUUCUCCACUACUACGGCUCCACAGCACUCCUUCUUAGGACUAAUAUAAACUCAAAAGUUUGCAUUAGGUUCUAAUUUUAAAAUUUUGAGGAAGUGAAAAUUUUUCUACUUUCUUAAAAUUUAGAAAUUUUAAAAAUGUGUUGUUAAAUAUAGAAUAUACCUAUUAUAAUUCUUAUAUUUCAUAUAAGAUUUUCUAUUUUUUAAAACAAAACUGAAAAAUGUAUUAAAAUACAGACUAAGUGUUUCUCUUUAAAAAUAUUUUUAAUGAAAACACAAUUAAAAAAAAUGUUGCAAAUAAAAAUGCAUUAAUAUAAUUCCGUUCUAAUUCAUUCAAAUAUUUUUCUUGGAUAUUUCAUAUAUCUCACCAAAAGAAUAUGGAUUACAAUAUUAUCGAAGAAUCUUAAAAAUAAUUUUAGUUGAUUGAUUUCAUUUAGGUCUUGUAAUCCUAUACUCUAACUUUACUCAUUCAUCAAUUUCAUUGAUAAAAUAUUAUUAAAAUUAAUAAUUAUUUAAAAAAAAUUAAAUUAAUAACCUUUUUCAAAAACCAUAUCUAUUUAGUACAAUAAAAUAAAACUUUCCUAUAUUAUGGUAGAAGAUGGUAGUGUAUCGUCUAAAGAUAAAAGAAUUGAUCAUAAAAAUAAAAUAAAAUAAUAUAAAAACACUCCAAAUAAAAUUAGGAAAAACUUUAUAUAGGAGAGGAAAAUUAAGUUAAAUAAAUUUGAAGUAAUAAAUAAAAGAAAAAUUAUUCAUUUUAAAUAUAAUUAUUUUUUUUCUUUUACCCUUUCUUUCUAAUUUUUUUCCCUUAUAUUUUCCUCAAAAUUUAUAGAAGCCAAGAGGGCCUAUGCAAGUGGAGAAAUGAUGUAAAAAGGGAAGAUGGAUCUAAUCAGACAAUAAAGGAAGUAUUUGGAUAUUAGAAGUUCUAAAGUUUAGGCUUUAUUAGUAAUAUUUUUAUGAAAAAACAAAAAAUUUAUCUUGCUUUUUCUAAAACUUUUUUUUCAAAAUUUUGAAAAUUUUGAGAAAGUAAAAUUUUUUUAAUCCUUCAAUUUUAAGUAUUUUAAAAAGUGUUUUCAAGUAUAUAUAUAUAUAUAUAUAUAUAUAUAUAGACACCUAGGACAAGGUCAUAUGCAAUGAAAACAGGAAUUAUGUCAUGAUUCAAAACAAAGAAGAGGGUUAGAAAAUACAAAAGAUAUCCAACAAAGAAAUUUAAAGAGAAGAAACCAAAAACUUGUUAGUUCAUAAUAAGCUUAAAACCGACCAUGUAGGCGGUAUAAAAUGAAAAACAUAAACUUAAAAACAAAGCUUAAUUAAAACCGACUAUGUAGGCGGUACAAGAACAUAAAAUAAAAUGAAAAACAAAACUUAAUUAAAACCAUCCAUGUAGGAGGCAUAAGAACAUAAAAUAAAAACAAAACCAUCCAUAUAGGAGGUAAUCAAAACAUACUUAUAUUAUACAUAAGGAGAAAUAUCUUACAAUGGACAAGGGUAGGAAAGCUUGAAGAAAGCUUGAAAGCUUGAAGGGCAUACAUGAUGAGAGAGAAAGAAGAGAGAAGGGAGAGCAUAAGCUUAGGAGAGAAAAUUUUAGUGUUUUUUACAAAUGAGGACCGAGCCUCUUUAAAUAGGCAAAAAAGGAAUCUUGAAUAGUAACCAUGAAUAGUAGACCCGUGCUUGAAUAAUGAAUAGUGAACAGUGAAUAGUAAGAUUCACUUUUAUACCGAAAUCCCCCAAAAACUCUCUUUCGGCUGAGAAGACUUCUGGCAGGCUGCUUUAUACUGUGUAGACACAUGUUUGCUGCUUUUGGUGCAGAAAAUGCUGGAAAAGCUUGUUGAAGAGGAUAAACUUGCAGGCUGAGAAUCAUGAAGCUUUGUAAUUUCUUAUUGGUGGAAGAAUACCUUCACAGUCGUCGCCAUUGUCGGGAAGGUAGCUUGUGGAAUCAUCAGAGUCUGCAUAUGAGUUGUCUUGAGAAAAGCUUGAGCUUCCUUCUUCCAAGAUUUUCUGGAAUUCUUGAGGAGUUUUUGCUGCUGCUAACAUGGCUUGGAGCUGUUGCUUUUUAAGCAAAAACUGAGAUGUUUCAUCAUUAGCUGAGGCUUGUGUGGGAUGCUUGAGGAAGUACUGCUUAACAACAUUGAGUGAUGCAUCAUUUUUUAAGGCAUCCCACCAUUUUGUUUUAAAAGUCCUUCCAAGGGUUGGAAAGGCUGUUGAAUCAUCUGCUAUGAUUAAAUAAUCCCACUGGACAAUCCAAGCGAGGCCAAAAUUGCUGAAGAAGAAUAAUAAAUGUGGAAAAGCUGAAAGUUCUCUUGGAAUAACAAAAGAACUAUUGAAUAGCUCAAAGCCAUCCAAUACAGGCUUAGGGAGGAUUUUAGUAGAUGGUCCAAAAUAGGUCCACCAAUUGUGAAACCAAAAAAGGAAAGAAGAAAGCUGGUUCUUGGAAGGAAAAUAGAACAUCCAUGAAUGAUGGAAGUCCCUAUUCUGGAUCAGAAAAGCAUUAAACCAUGCUUUCUGAUAAUCCCAAUAAUUAAAAAAUCUUGGCUUAGAUGGUUCAGAAAACUCCCUUGAAAGAUUGGGAUUCCCCCCCCCCCCCCCCNNNNNNNNNNNNNNNNNNNNNNNNNNNNNNNNNNNNNNNNNNNNNNNNNNNNNNNNNNNNNNNNNNNNNNNNNNNNNNNNNNNNNNNNNNNNNNNNNNNNNNNCCCCCCCCCCCCCCCCCAUUGCUUGACAGUUAGGAUCUUAUAGAUAUGACAAGUGGAAAAUGCCAAAUCUAAAUUGCUGAAUUUAUCUGCAUUAUGCUUGAUCUUAACAGAACCAGUUUCAAUAAGAACUGCUUCAUAAAAUUCUCUUGUUUUUAAAAGAUCGGCAGAGGGAUAGUGGAAAUUUUUAUAAAAAGCUUUUGCCACAAUCUCUCUGGGGUUUUCAGAAAAAAAAACUCUCUUUCAAUAACAAAAAGAGGUUGAUUUAAAUCUUUUUGCCAAUAUCUUGAUUUUGUUGAAAGAGAUGUGGGGUUGGCAGCCACCACAAUUUGUUUGCUUGAAAAAGAGGAGCUUGCUGCUAAUUCCUUUUGAGAGGGAUUAGCCAUAGUGACCUGCUUAAAGGUCUGAGACCCUGAGAUAGCUGGAUAUUGGGUUGCCUUAACUGGUUUAGAAGGAUCCGAAGGAUCAUAGUAUAAGGUCAACAUCUUGUUAGGCAUAUAGUUAGAUUCAUGCAUAGAUUUAGAAGAAUGAAGCUUUGCCAAAAACCGUGCUUCUUCUUCUUCUUGUUCAACUUGUUGGCUCCAAAGCAUUUUAUGAGGAGAAGGGGAUUGGUUAGUUUGACUGGACUGGGAUUUUUGUGAGCUAGGAGCUGGGGCAUUCUUUUUAGGGGCCAUGAUCUCAUGAACCCUGCAAAAUUCUCGAGAUAGCUGAUUAGGGAUGAAAUAUUCUCCUUUAAUAAAAUUACCUUGAAAAUUAGCUUUUAAAAUAAUUUACCAGUUAAUUAAAUCAUACCUAAAAGCUAUGUAUUUAAUUGUUCCAACAUUUUUGAAAACAAUUUUUAAUAAAAAUUCUUGAUUCAAAAUACCAAUUUGAAAAUUUGAAAUGAGUAAAGAAAUGCUUAAAAUAUCAUUAUGCAUGAACUGGUUGCAUAUUAUCUUAUGAGGAACAUCUAAUCCAACAAGAUUAAUUUCUUGGUUACAAGGCGUGAUGCUUACAGUUGGAUUAGCAAAUUCAAAAAGAAUUUCCUUAUCAAAAAGCUUGGUUCUUAUACCUUGGUUAUCUACCCACAAGGGAUAAAUAGAGCUAAGAAGGGUAUUCCUAGAAGGGCUUUUUCCUUAAGAUCCUUAACAAGGAUAAAGGUUUGCUUAAUACAGAUGUCAUGGUUACGGAUAUGAACAUCUGUUAAUUUAUACUUAAUAGCAAGUCUUUUGCCAUUGGCUCCAAAUAGAGACUGACUAGUCUCUUUGCAUAAAGAAAUAGGUACAAGACCUUCUUGAAGGCAAUUUUCAGCUGCUCCUAAAUCAAUCAAAGCAAUAAUAUCAAAGACAAAUUUAUCUUUGACUACUAUAGUAAGGGAGACUUCCCACCUCUGUAAGAUAACCCUACUCACAGUAUUCAAAAAAGUAUCCGUCUCAUUAUCAUUAACAUGAGAAGAUUCUGGAAUAUCCAUAUGGAUUUCUUGGUUGCCAAUUCUAUUGAUUUGAUCUUGGAGAUCAGAGAGACCUAGACUUAUGAAUUGUCUUAACUCCUUAAUCUCCUUUUUAUGCUGCUUAACUUCUUCAUGAAGUUCCUUAAUGCUGACUUCCUUGGGAGACUGUUGGUCAAACCUGUUUAAGAUAUCAUUAAGGUUAUAAGGAUUAACAGUCUUCUUGGCUUCUACCUUAACAACAGAUUUCUUAAAAACUUCAUAAAGAUUUUGCUUAGUCUUUUCAUCUUAACCUUUUCUUAAAGUAUCUAGGAUAAAUUCCUGAUCUUGGCUUAUGACAUUUAUAGUUUUAGGAUGGCAAUUACAAUUACCUUUAAUACAUUCUGCUUGGUCACUAGAAGAUUGGCUGGAAACUUCACCACUACUGUCUAGUUGAUUAAUGUCAUCUUCAUUAUCUGAAUCAGUCCUUGAUUCAGAAUCUGAGGAGUUUAACAUUACCUUACAAAGCAUAUUUUUUAGGUCAUCUGAAACACUUAAGUUAUUAAUCUUUUGCUUAACUCUACAAUCUUUCUUAUAAUGACCAACUUUGCCACAUUUAAAACAGAUAAUUGGCUUGACAUCUAAAGGAGUUUCUACCUUUUUCUGGGUAUCUUUGUUGACCCUUCUUUGGACGUGCCUUGACUGAUUAGUAUCAUUCAUCCUAUAGUUGUCAUAGGUACCUCUCUUACUGUGGUAAAACUUAUCUUUGCUAGGCUUCCUGCUUGGUUUUUGCUUAGAGGGAGGCAUAGUUUCCUUUUGGCUGAAACCAAACUGGCUACAGAAUGAUCCAAAUUCAUUCUUGUAGAUUUUUUGUUCAUUCUUCAUCUGUUGCUUAAGCUUGAAGUCAUUGCACAACUUAAUCCCUUCAGCUGUGACAAUGCUUAUAAUCUCACCAUAGGUUAGCUUGUCAUAAGGGAUUUGACCAUUAUAUUGUUCCCUUAUCUUGAUCCUAAUUCUCUCAGAGAAAAGCUUGGGCAAUCCUGAGAUGAAUUUUUCUUUCCAAAAAGACUGGUUACAAUCUGAUCUUAACAUGACUUUGGUUAGGAAGACUUCCUUAUACCACCUAAAAUCAUGAAGCUUGGGACACUUAAGGUUGGUUAAGAGAUCUGCAGUUUUAUCCUUAAUUUUUGCAGGAUCUCCAAUGAAGUGCUUGGAUAUUGAGUAGAUUAGAGUAGCCACUGCAUCCUCUAUAUCUUGGCCAUCUUUGUCCUUAACAACUUCAUUAUUCUCAUUAAUCCUAUAGGCUUUAAGGAUACUAUUCCUAUCAUCAAAAGUGAGAUAAUUAUCCCACCAACCCUUAAGCUGACCUGUAAACCCAGCAACAAUGGUCUGAGCUACAACAUGAUCUGGCAGUCUAUUGUUUAAUUUAUAGGCUGUACUAACCAUGGUCAUUUCUUGAAGCUUAGUGAGUAUGUUAUACUCGGUCAUACCGUCUAUGUUCCAUUCAUAGAUAGUACCACUGGUGUAUGAGGCUUGAGUAUACUGAUUUCUUUCCUCAAACUGCAUGUCAGGAAAAAUAGGUCUAGGAUAGUAAUUCCUAGUCUUAAAGGUUUCGAAAUUGUUAAUAAUUUGAUCAUGGGGUUCCUCAAACAUCUUAAUUAGUUCAUCAGCUUCUUCUUCUGAACUAAUAUCACCUUUAACCAUAUUGAUUCUCUUAUCAGGCUGAACAGUCAAAGGGGCAACAAGAUUAUCCUUAAUCUUCUGAUUAAUCCUAUCAAUAAAAGCUUGGUUGAAUUGGGGAUUUUCUUAGAAAUCCUUAGAGAAUUCAUAUGGCUUAUUUUCAUUAUUACUACUGGUAACCUUUAUACGCUUAAAGGGAUAAUCUGGAUAUUCCUCUUGUUUGAAGAGUUCAAACCAAAUCCAAAACUUAAUAUUUUUCUUUUCUUGUCUUAGGUAGGCAUAGAAUUCUUCUUGGUAAAUGGUUCUAAUGACUUUAGGGAUAGUGCUAAAGAACCAAUCAUUUCUUUGCUUAUUGACUUCAGAAUAGAAGUCCUUUCUUAAGAGAUCCUUGUUGAUCUCAAAGUCCUCAUCACUUAGGCUUAUUGUGUUAAUCAUCUGGGAAUAGGUAGGAGACAUAACAGGGGACUCAUCUUGUUGGGAUUCCUGAGUAGACUCAUUUUCUUCACUGUAAAAUGGUCUAGCCACGUUGGUGUGAUUUCUAAUACCUGUUAGCUUAAUGUUCUUAGGAUUUCCUGAGCUGUAACCUUCUUCUUCCCUAGUAGUUCUAACUGGGAUGGAAGAGCUUGAAGCUCUAGAGGGUUCAUAAACAGAAACUCUAGGGCUGCUGGAGUGUCUGAAAGAUUUGGAGAAGACCAGUUCUCCUCCUCCAUCUGGAUAUUGAACUAUUUGUUCAAUACUUUCAGAACGCUGUGCUAUGGCUGGAACAGCAUUAGAAAAAUGCCAAUUUUCAGGGAAAUCAACAUCUUUCCACAAGAUCUUCUUGGGGAUGAUGAAAUCUGACUUAUCUAGCAUAUCUGAGUGAAAAUAGGUGGUCUCACCUUUAGGACUGGUACAAAGAGCCCCAGAUCCAACGCUUGUGUUCAUGCUCUUAUAGGCAAACCUGGUUAUGAUAGAAACAGGAUUGUUUCCUGGUUUGAUCUUAAAGCCAUGGGUCUUAAUAUGCAGGACAACGGAAUCUAAGAUGUCUGCAUCUCUUAUUCUAACUGUGAAGUUAGGAUAGCACUGGAAAUAGACUGGGCCAUCAUUCAGUCCAGCUUGGACUACGCCUAUAAUAGAAUCUCGAUAUUCGAGAUGUCUAUUAUCCCUUAAACACAUGACAAUAGAGGUGUUUAAACCUAAUCUUGUCAAAGGCUUAGCUGCUACUUGAAUCAUACCAAAGUGUAUGAAAUUAUAGCCAUCUUUCUUAUGCUUAUCAAUGGAUCUGUUAUCUAGAAGUCUUAUGACUUGGUCGUCUUGUUCUAAGCUGACUGACAUUUCAGAGGUCUUAAUGGUAUAAUAUGUGAAGAACUUAAAGGUUCAUUUCUUAUAAAUUUCUUGAUUAGACACCUUGGGUAACAUCCAAUCAUCUAAAUCAUUUUGGAUCUUAGGAUAAUUGAUCUCUUCACUGUUUACAACAGUAUCUUGAGAAUCACUGGAUCUCCUAGACAUGGUUCGGAAAAUUGAACUCAUUUUAGGGUUUUUGAACUAGAGCCUAAUAGCAGAUUGACAGACCUUAUGAGACGUCACCCCAACCCUCUUACAGCCUAACAAACGCCUAUCCACGGCUAACAACGGCUCAACCGGCAGGGCUCGCGCUCCCAGGCACACUGCUACCUAUCCUAGGAUAGGCCAAGAACACCCAAAACAAGACCCAACUUCCCUCGCACAUGGCUCUGAUACCAUAGACACCCAGGACAAGGUCAUGUGCAAUGAACAAAUGAAUUAUGCCAUGAUUCAAAACAAAGAAGAGGGUUAGAAAUCAAACAAGAUAUCCAACAAGAAAUUUAAAGAAAAUGAACCAAAAACUUGUUAGUUCAUAAUAAGCUUAAAACCGACCAUGUAGGCGGUACAAAAUAAAAAACAUAAACUUAAAAAUUUUAAUUAAAACCGACCAUGUAGGCUGUAUAAGAACAUAAAAUAAAAUGAAAAACAAAACAUAAUUAAAAACCAUCCAUAUAGGAGGUAAUCAAAACAUACUUAUAUUAUACAUAAGGAGAAAUAUCUUACAAUGGACAGGGGUAGGAAAGCUUGAAGGGUUUACAUGAUGAGAGAGAAAGAAGAGAGUAGGUAGAGCUUCAGCUUAGGAGAGAAAAUUCAAGUGUUCUUACAAAUGAGGACCUUGCCUCCUUAAAUAGGCAAAAAAAGAAUCUUGAAUAGUAAUCAUGAACAGUAGACCCGUGCUUGAAUAGUGAAUAGUGAAUAGUGAAUAGUAAGAUUCACUUUUAUACCGAAAACCCCCAAAAACCCUUUUUCGGCUAAGAAGACUUCUGGCAGGUUGCUUUAUACUGUGUAGACGAAUGCUUGCUGCUUUUGGUACAGAAACUACAAAGCUUGUAAAAUAUUCUUGUUGACCGGUCAUCAUGAGAAAUCCUUACGAUGAUCUUCAAGAAGCUUAAUAUCUUCAGUACUAGCCAUGGUUGGAAGAGGGUGUAACUUCUUGCCACAGAAAAUUAGAUGACAAGAAUCUGCAGCAAUAAGAUGUCCCAUAUUUCUUGGAAAAGCCUCAAAAUCCCUGCAAAUAAUUCUGGCUCUCCAGUGUUUGAUUUGCUUAAUAAUGGAUUCAGCACAAAUAUCAGAAAAUAACAGAGGGUAAGACAGCCGAGUAGGUCUCCUAUUCAGAUAGUGAAGAGAAACAAUUUGUUGACCUGGAAUAAGCUUGCCACUAGAAACCCACUCAGGAGUUUUGCUGAUGAUGAUGGCUUCUGCGAAUUUCUUAUUUAUUUUAAAUCCUUGGGUUAGGCUAAGAGCAAUUUUUCUUCCAAACUGGGAAACUUGGUUGGGAUCAGAACAGAUGAUUUGAUGGACUAGACCAUGGUCCAGAAGCUUUUCUGGAGUUAAUAAUAAAUCUUCACCCUUGAAUUGAUGCUGAUUGGUGAAUAGUAUUGCAAGUCCAAGCAAACACGACUGAUUGUGAAAUUUCUGUUGCAGUUGCAAAUCAACUUCUUGAUGCCUUUUUGGUACUGGAAAGGUUCUUCAAUUAUUCUGCAAAUUUUUGAAUCAUCAACUUUCUUCUCAGUAACCAAGCUUAAACCUGGGACCUUAAGACCAAUAUUGGUGGAAAGAUAGAAAUUUAUAAGAAAGGAACCUUUAAGUUCUUCACAGAUUAUACCAUUAAGACCUCUGAAAUGUCAGUCAGCUUAGAACAAGACGACCAAGUCAUAAGACUUCUAGAUAACAAAUCCAUUGAUAAGCAUAAGAAAGAUGGCUAUAAUUUCAUACACUUUGGUAUGAUUCAAGUAGCAGCUAAGCCUUUGACAAGAUUAGGUUUAAACACCUCUAUUGUCAUGUGUUUAAGGGAUAAUAGGCAUCUCGAAUAUCGAGACUCUAUUAUAGGCGCAGUCCAAGCUGGACUGAAUGAUGGCCCAGUCUAUUUCCAGUGCUAUCCUAACUUCACAGUUAGAAUAAGAGAUGCAGACAUCUUAGAUUCCGUUGUCCUGCAUAUUAAGACUCAUGGCUUUAAGAUCAAACCAGGAAACAAUCCUGUUUCUAUCAUAACCAGGUUUGCCUAUAAGAGCAUGAACACAAGCGUUGGAUCUGGGGCUCUUUGCACCAGUCCUAAGGGUGAAACCACUUACUUUCACUCAAAUAUGCUAGAUAAGUCAGACUUCAUCAUCCCCAAGAAGAUUUUGUGGAAAGAUGUUGAUUUCCCUGAAAAUUGGCAUUUUGUUAAUGCUGUUGCAGCCAUAACAACGUUCUGAAAGUAUUGAACAAAUAGUUCAACAUCCAGAUGGAGGAGGAGAACUAGUCUUCUCCAAAUCUUUCAGACAUUCCAGUAGCCUUAGAGUUUCAGUUUAUGAACCCUUUAGAGCUUCAAGUUCUUCCAUUCCAGUUAGAACCACUAGGGAAGAAGAAGGAUCCAACUCAGGAAAUCCUAAGAACAUUAAGCUAACAGGUGUUAGAAGUCACACCAACGUGGCUAGACCAUUUUACAGAGAAGAAAAUGAGUCUACUCAGGAAUCCCAACAGGAUGAGUCCCCUGUUAUGUCUCCUACCUAUUCCCAGAUGAUUAACACAAUAAACCUAAGUGAUGAGGACUUUGAAAUCAACAAGGAUCUCUUAAGAAAAGACUUCUAUUCUGAAGUCAAUAAGCAAAGAAAUGAUUGGUUCUUUAGCACUAUCCCUAAAGUCAUUAGAACCAUUUACCAAGAAGAAUUCUAUGCCUACUUAAGACCAGAAAAGAAAAAUAUUAAGUUUUGGAUCUGGUUUGAACUCUUCAAACAAGAGGAAUAUCCAGAUUAUCCCUUUAAGAGUAUAAAGGUUACCAGUAGUAAUAAUGAAAAUAAGCAAUAUGAAUUCUCUAAGGAAUUCCAAGAAAAUCCCCAAGUCAACCAAGCUUUUGUCGAUAGGAUUAAUCAGAAGAUUAAGGAUAAUCUUGUUACUCCUUUGACUGUUCAGCCUGAUAAGAGAAUCAAUAUGGUUAAAGGUGAUAUUAGUUCAGAAGAAGAAGCUGAUGAACUAAUUAAGAUGUUUGAGGAACCCCAUAAUCAAAUUAUUAAUAACUUGGAAGCCUUUAAGACUAGGAAUUACUAUCCUAGGCCUACUUUUCCUGACAUGCAGUUUGAGGAAAGAAAUCAGUAUACCCAAGCCUCAUACACCAGUGGUACUAUCUAUGAAUGGAACAUAGACGGUAUGACCGAGUAUAACAUACUCACUAAGCUUCAAGAAAUGACCAUGGUAAGUACAGCCUAUAAGUUAAACAAUAGACUGCCAGAUCAUGCUGUAGCUCAGACCAUUGUUGCUUGGUUUACAGGUCAGCUUAAGGGUUGGUGGGAUAAUUAUCUCACUUUUGAUGAUAGGAAUAGUAUCCUUAAUAGGAUUAAUGAGAGUAAUGAAGUUGUUAAGGACAAAGAUGGCCAAGAUAUUGAGGAUGCAGUGGCUACUUUAAUCUAUUCAAUAUCCAAGCACUUCAUCGGAGAUCCUGCAAAAAUUAAGGAUAAAACUGCAGAUCUCUUAACCAAACUUAAGUGUCCCAAGCUUCAUGAUUUUAGGUGGUAUAAGUCUUCCUAACCAAAGUCAUGCUAAGGUCAGAUUGUAACCAGUCUUUUUGGAAAGAAAAAUUCAUCUCAGGAUUACCCAAGCUUUUCUCUGAGAGAAUUAGGAUCAAGAUAAGGGAACAGUAUAAUGGUCAAAUCCCUUAUGAUAAGCUAACCUAUGGUGAGAUUAUAAGCAUUGUCACAGCUGAAGGGAUUAAGUUGUGCAAUGACUUCAAGCUUAAGCAACAGAUGAAGAAUGAACAAAAAAUCUACAAGAAUGAAUUUGGAUCAUUCUGUAGCCAGUUUGGUUUCAGCCAAAAGGAAACUAUGCCUCCCUCUAAGCAAAAACCAAGCAGGAAGCCUAGCAAAGAUAAGUUUUACCACAGUAAGAGAGGUACCUAUGACAACUAUAGGAUGAAUGAUACUAAGCAGUCAAGGCACGUCCAAAGAAGGGUCAACAAAGAUACCCAGAAAAAGGUAGAAACUCCUUUAGAUGUCAAGCCAAUUAUCUGUUUUAAAUGUGGCAAAGUUGGUCAUUAUAAGAAAGAUUGUAGAGUUAAGCAAAAGAUUAAUAACUUAAGUGUUUCAGAUGACCUAAAAAAUAUGCUUUGUAAGGUAAUAUUAAACUCCUCAGAUUCUGAAUCAAGGACUGAUUCAGAUAAUGAAGAUGAUAUUAAUCAACUAGAUAGCAGUGACGAUGUUUCUAGCCAAUCUUCUAGUGACCAAGAUGUUUGUAUUAAGGGUAAUUGUAAUUGUCGUCCUAAAACCAUAAAUGUCAUAAGCCAAGAUCAGGAAUUCAUCUUAGAUACUUUAAGAAAAGUUGAAGAUGAAAAGACUAAGCAGAAUCUUUAUGAAGUUUUUAAGAAAUAUGUUGUUAAGGUAGAAGCCAAGAAGACUGUUAAUCCUUAUAACCUUCACGAUAUCUUAAACAGGUUUGACCAGCAGUCUCCCAAGGAUGUCAGCAUUAAGGAACUUCAUGAAGAAGUUAAGCAGCAUAAAAAGGAGAUUAAGGAGUUAAGACAAUUCAUAAGUCUAGGUCUCUCUAAUCUCCAAGAUCAAAUCAAUAGAAUUGGCAACCAAGAAAUCCAUAUGGAUAUUCCAGAAUCUUCUCAUGUUAAUGAUAAUGAGACAGAUACUUUUUUGAAUACUGUGAGUAGGGUUAUCUUCCAGAGGUGGGAAGUCUCCCUUACUAUAGUAGUCAAAGAUAAAUUUGUCUUUGAUAUUAUUGCUUUGAUUGAUUCAGGAGCAGCUGAAAAUUGCCUUCAAGAAGGUCUUGUACCUAUUCCUUUAUGCGAAGAGACUUGUUAGUCUCUAUUUGGAGCCAAUGGCAAAAGACUUGCCAUUAAGUAUAAAUUAAUAGAUGUUCAUAUCCGUAACCAUGACGUCUGUAUUAAGCAAACCUUUAUCCUUGUUAAGGAUCUUAAUGAAAAAGCCCUUCUAGGAAUACCCUUCUUAAGCUCUAUUUAUCCCUUGUGGGUAGAUAACCAAGGUAUAAGAACAAAGCUUUUUGAUAAGGAAAUUCUUUUUGAAUUUGCUAAUCCAACUGUAAGCAUCACUCCUUUUAACCAAGAAAUUAACCUUGUUAGGUUAGAUGUCCCAAGUAAGCUAAUAGGCAACCAGUUCAUGCAUAAUGACAUUUUAAGCAUUUCUUUAUGCAUUUCAAAAUUUCAAAUUGGGAUUUUGAAUCAAGAAUUUUUAUUAAAAAUUAUUUUCAAAGAUUUUGAAAAAAUUAAAUAUAUAACUUUUAAGUAUGAUUUAAUUAACUGGUAUAUUAUUUUAAAAUCUAAGUUUCAAAGUUACUUUAUUAAAGGAGAUUAUUUCAACCCUAAUCAGCUAUCUCGUGAAUUUUGCAGGGUUCAUGAGAUCAUGGCCCCUAAAAAGAAUACCCAAGCUUCUAGCUCUCACAAACCCUCAUCUAGUCAAGCUAACCAAUCUCCUUCUACCCAUAAAAUGCUUUGGAGUCAACAAGUUGAAGAGGAAGAAGCACAACUUUUGGCAAAGCUUCAUUCUUCUAAACCUAUGCAUGAAUCCAACCAUAUGCCUAACAAAAUGUUGACCUUAUACUAUGAUCCUUCUGAUCAUUCUAAACCAGUUAAGGCAACACAAUAUCUAGCUACCUCAGGGUCUCAGACCUUUAAGCAGGUUACUAUGGCUAAUCCCUCUUAAAAGGAAUUAGCAACAAGCUCUUCUUUUUCAAGCAAACAAAUUGUGGUGGCUGCCAACCCCACACCUCUUUCAACAAAAUCAAGAUAUUGGCAAAAUGAUUUAAAUCAAUCUCUUUUAGUUAUUGAAAGAGAAUUUUUCUCGAAAAACCCCAGAGAGAUUGCUGCAAAAGCAUUUCAAGAAAAUUUUCAUUAUCCCUCUAGUGAUAUUUUAAAAACAAGAGAGUUUUAUGAAGCAGUCCUUAUAGAAACUGGUUCUGUUAAGAUCAAGCAUAACGCUGAUAAAUUCAGCAAUAUGGGCUUGGCAUUCUCCACCUGCCAUAUCUAUAAGAUCCUUACAGUCAAGCAAUGGGGUGAAAAUCCUAAUCUUUCAAGAGAAUUUUCUGAACCAUCUAAGCCAAGGUUUUUUAAUUAUUGGGAUUAUCAGAGAGCAUGGUUUAAUGCUUUUCUGAUCCAGAAUAGGGACUUCCAUCAUUCAUGGAUGUUCUAUUUUCCAUCUAAGAACCAGCUUUCCUCUUUCCCAUUUUGGUUCUACAGUUGGUGGACUUAUUAUGGUCCAACUAUUAAGAUUCUUCCUAAGCCCAUUCUGGAUGGCUUUGAGCUAUUCAGAAGUUCUUUUAAUAUUCCCAGAGAACUUUCAGCAUUUCCCCUUUUACUAUUCUUUUUCAGCAAUUUUGGCCUGGCUUGGAUAGUCCAGUGGGACUAUAUUAUUAUUACAGACGAAUCAGCAGCCUUUCCAUCUCUGGGAAGGACUUUUAAAACUAAAUGGUGGGAUGCAUUAAAAAAUGAUGCAUCUACUGAUGUAGUCAAGUAGUAUUUCCUCAAGAACCCCUCACAAGUCUCAGCCAGUGAUGAUAUGUCUCAGUUUCUCCUCAAAAAGCAACUGUUACAAGCCAUGCUCGCAGCAGCUAAGACCCCUCAAGAGUUUCAAAAAAUCCUUGAAGAAGGAAGCUCAAGCUUCUCCCAAGAAAAUUCUUAUGCAGAGUCUGACGAUUCAACAAGCUACCUUCCAGACAAUGGUGAUGACUGUGAAGGAAUCCUUCCUCCAAUAAGAAGAUCUAAGUAAUCAUCAGCCUUUUGUCUUCCAUCAAAAGUAUUUUACAAGCUUUGCAGUUUCUGUUCCAAAAGCAGCAAGCAUGUGUCUACACAGUAUAAAGCAGCUUGCCAGAAGUCUUCUCAGCCGAAAAGGGGGUUUCGGGGGUUUUCGGUAUAAAAGUGAAUCUUACUAUUCACUAUUCAUUAUUCAAGCACGGGUCUACUGUUCAUGGUUACUAUUCAAGAUUCCUUUUAUGCCUAUUUAAAGAGGCCCGGUCCUCAUUUGUGAAAAAACACUUGAACUUUCUCUCCUAAGCCGAAGCUCUCCCUUCUCUCUUCUUUCUCUCUCAUCAUGUAAACCCUUCAAGCUUUCAAGCUUUCUUCAAGCUUUCUUACCCCUGUCCAUUGUAAGAUAUUUCUCCUUAUGUAUAAUAUAAGUAUGUUUUGAUUGCCUCCUCUAUAGAUGGUUUUUAAUUAUGUUUUGUUUUUCAUUUUAUUUUAUGUUCUUAUACAGCCUACAUGGUCGGUUUUAAUUAAUUUUUAUUUUUAAGUUUAUGUUUUUUAUUUUGUACCGCCUACAUGGUCGGUUUUAAGCUUAUUAUGAACUAACAAGUUUUUGGUUCCUUCUCUUUAAAUUUCUUAUUGGAUAUCUUGUUUGAUUUCUAACCCUCUUCUUUGUUUUGAAUCAUGGCAUAAUUCAUUUGUUCAUUGCACAUGACCUUGUCCUGGGUGUCUAUGGUAUCAGAGCCAUGUGCGAGGGAAGUUGGGUCUUGUUUUGGGUGUUCUUGGCCUAUCCUAGGAUAGGUAGCAGUGUGCCUGGGAGCGCGAGCCCUGCCGGUUGAGCCGUUGUUAGCCGUGGAUAGGCGUUUGUUAGGCUGUAAGAGGGUUGGGGUGACGUCUCAUAAGGUUUGUCAAUAUGCUAUUAGGCUCUAGAUCAAAAACCCUAAAAUGAGUUCAAUUUUCCGAACCAUGUCUAGGAGAUCCAGUGAUUCUCAAGAUACUGUUGUAAACAGUGAAGAGAUCAAUUAUCCUAAGAUCCAAAAUGAUUUAAAUGAUUGGAAGUUACCCAAGGUGUCUAAUCAAGAAAUUUAUAAGAAAUGAACCUUUAAGUUCUUCAUAGAUUGUACCAUUAAGACCUCUGAAAUGUCAGUCAGCUUAGAACAAGACGACCAAGUCAUAAGACUUCUAGAUAACAGAUCCGUUGAUAAGCAUAAGAAAGAUGGCUAUAAUUUCAUACACUUUGGUAUGAUUCAAGUAGCAGCUAAGCCUUUGACAAGAUUAGGUUUAAACACCUCUAUUGUCAUGUGUUUAAGGGAUAAUAGGCAUCUCGAAUAUCGAGAUUCUAUUAUAGGCGUAGUCCAAGCUGGACUGAAUGAUGGCCUAGUCUAUUUCUAGUGCUAUCCUAACUUCACGGUUAGAAUAAGAGAUGCAGACAUCUUAGAUUCCGUUGUCCUGCAUAUUAAGACUCAUGGCUUUAAGAUCAAACCAGGAAACAGUCUUGUUUCUAUCAUAACCAGGUUUGCCUAUAAGAGCAUGAACACAAGCGUUGGAUCUGGGGCUCUUUGUACCAGUCCUAAAGAAGAUCUUGUGGAAAGAUGUUGAUUUCGUUGAAAAUUGGCAUUUUGUUAAUGCUGUUCCAGCCAUAGCACAGCGUUCUGAAAGUAUUGAACAAAAAGUUCAAUAUCCAGAUGGAGAAGGAGAAUUGGUCUUCUCCAAAUCUUUCAGACACUCCAGCAGCCCUAGAGUUUUUGUUUAUGAACCCUCUAGAGCUUCAAGCUCUUCCAUCCCUGUUAGAACCACUAGGGAAGAAGAAGGAUCCAGCUCAAGAAACCCUAAGAACAUUAAGCUAACAGGUGUUAGAAGUCACACCAACGUGGCCAGACCAUUUUACAGUAAAGAAAAUGAGUCUACUCAGGAAUCCCAACAGGAUGAGUCCCCUGUCAUGUCUCCUACCUAUUCCCAGAUGAUUAACACUAUAAGCCUAAGUGAUGAGGACUUUGAGAUCAACAAGGAUCUCUUAAGAAAGGACUUCUAUUCUGAAGUCAAUAAGCAAAGAAAGGAUUUGUUCUUUAGCACUGUCCCUAAGGUCAUUAGAACCAUUUACCAAGAAGAAUUCUAUGCUUACUUAAGACAAGAAAAGAAAAUUAUUAAGUUUUGGAUUUGGUUUGAACUCUUCAGACAAGAGGAAUAUCCAGAUUAUCCUUGUAAGCACAUUAACAACACCUCUACAAAAGCUAAGAUAUGGAAAACCAGUGACAACAUUGUUAUAGAAUCCAUUCAUCCUCCUGAAGCUAAGAUAGAGAAGAAUAUUAAUGGAACCAUAGUCACAGCUUCACCUUUUAAGACUAAGCCAGAGGAUAAAGGAACUGCUAGUGCAUCCGAUAUUAGAAGGAUUAUGGAACAAAUCAAUUAUACUAAUAUGUUUCUCAUAACCCUUGGAAAUCAAGUCAACAGAGUUGAGGAGAUUAUUGAAACUCAGGAUCACCUUAAGAAGCCUUUUGUUAAGAAUGAUAAUAAGCCUUUGUUUAAGCCUUUUGAAUUAUCUAAGAAAUUCCAGGAAAAUCCUCAAAUUGAUCAAGCUUUCAUUGAUAGAAUAAGCUAAAAGGUUAAAGAUAAUCUUGUUAUCCCUUAAACACCUCAACCUUCCCAUAGGAGAAUCCUUUUGGUUAAAAAGAAUAUUAGUCCAAAAGCAAAGGAUAAUGGACUAAUUAGGCUAACCAGAGAACCUUCUAUCCAAAACCCUUUUAAGGAUCAUGAUGAGAAACAAGAAAAAAGGAUUAUCCUUAAUGCCCUAACUAUUAAAGAUCUUCAAGAAGAAAUAGGGCAGUAUAAGAAGGAUAUUGAGAACCUAAGACAACCUACAAGCUCAGAAAUCCCUAUCCCUCAGGAUUAUAUCAACAGGGUAGGUUUUUACCACAGUAGUCCUAAAAAGGAAGACUUUGAAGAAGUUCUUGAAUCUUCACAAGACAAUAGUGAUAAGAUAAAUGCAUACUUAAAUACUAUUAGUAAAGUUAUCUUUCAAAGGUGGGAAGUCUCCCUUACUAUAGUAAUUAAGAAUAAAUUUAUCCUUGAUAUUAUUGCUUUAAUUGAUUCAGAUGCAGCUUUGAAUUGUCUACAAGAAAGUCUAGUACCUACCCAAUUUUAUGAGAAAACCAGGCAAGCCCUCUUUAGUGUUAAUGGUAAAAAGCUUAUUAUCAAGUACAAGCUAUCGAAUGCCCAUAUUUGUAACCAAGGCAUUUGCAUUAAGCAAACCUUCAUUCUUGUUAAAGAUCUCAAGGAGAAAGUUCUCCUUGGAGUCCCUUUCUUAAGCUCCAUCUUUCCUAUGUGGGUAGAUGAUCAAGGUAUAAGAACUAAGCUUUUAGAUAAGGAAAGUCUGUUUGAAUUUGCCAAUCCACCUGGAGAAAGAAGUAUAAACACCAUAAAAGAUCAGGUGAUUAAGGCUAAGCAAAAUCAUAUUAAUCUCUUAAAACAAGAGAUUGCUCUGGUUAGAAUAGAAGAUCAACUGAAGGUUAAGAAAACCCAAGAUGCUAUAGAAAGCCUUAAGAAUAAGAUUAUUAAGGAAGUUUGUUCUAACAUUCCUAAUGCUUUUUGGCACAGGAAGCAGCAUGAGGUAGAAUUACCCUAUGAGCCUGAUUUUAGUGAGAAAAAUAUUCCCACUAAAGCAAGACCAAUCCAAAUGAACAAGGAUUUGUUAGGCUAUUGUGAAAAAGAAAUCCAGGAUCUCAUGGAUAAGAAGUUGAUAAGAAAGUCUAAGUCCCCUUGGAGUUGUUCAGCCUUUUAUGUUCAGAAACAAGCUGAACUUGAAAGAGGAACACCUAGACUAGUCAUCAACCAUAAGCCCCUCAAUGAUGUUUUAAGAUGGAUCAGGUAUCCUAUCCCAAAUAAAAAAGACCUCCUUCAAAGAUUAGGGAUGUCCAAAGUUUUCUCUAAGUUUGACAUGAAAUCAGGAUUUUGGCAAAUCCAGAUUGCAGAAAAAGAUAGGUACAAAACAGCCUUUGUGGUCCCAUUUGGUCAUUAUGAGUGGAAUGUAAUGCACUUUGGCCUUAAGAAUGCACCUUCUGAGUUUCAAAACAUAAUGAAUGAAAUCUUUAACCAGUUUUCUGAUUUCAUUAUUGUUUACAUUGAUGAUGUUUUGAUUUACUCAGAUUCUGUUGAGCAGCAUUGGAAACAUCUCAAUAGGUUUAUUGAGACUGUUAAGAGCAAUGGUUUAAGCUUGUCAGCCACUAAGAUUAACCUCUUUCAAACUAAAGUAAGAUUCCUAGGUCAUCAUAUUCACCAAGGAACAUUCACCCCCAUUCAAAGAUAAAUUGAGUUUGCUGAUAAGUUCCCUGAUGAGAUUAAGGAUAAGAAACAAUUGCAACGUUUCCUAGGAAGCCUUAAUUAUGUGUCAGAUUUCAUACAAGAUUUAAGCCAAUUAUGUGCCCCUUUAAGACAAAGACUUAAGAAAAAUCCAGUUCCUUGGAAUGAGGAUCAUACCAAGAUUGUUAAAAUAGUAAAGUCUAGAGUCAAAACCCUACCAUGUCUCGCCUUAGCUGAUCAUAAAGCCUUUAAGAUUGUUGAGACUGAUGCUUUUGAUAUAGGUUUUGGUGGAAUUCUUAAGCAAAGAAGUAAUAAUCAAGAAUUGUUGGUUAGAUUCACUUCUGGAACUUGGAACCAUGCCCAACUCAACUACAACACCAUCAAAAAGGAAAUUUUAAGCAUCGUUUUAUGCAUUUCAAAAUUUCAAGACGAUCUUUUGAAUCAGGAAUUUUUAUUAAGAGUGGAUUGCAAAUCUGCAAAAUCAGUUUUACAAAAAGAUGUUAAAAAUAUAGCUUCUAAACAUAUUUUUGCUAGAUGGCAAGCUAUUUUAAGCAAUUUUGAUUUUCAAAUUGAGUAUAUUAAAGGAGAAAAUAACUCAAUCCCUGAUUUCCUAACUCAUGAAUUUUUGCAGGAUUCACAAGAUCAUGGCUCCCAAAAUAGAAAAGCAAUCCUUUAAGAAAUCAUCAUCUUACAUGAAACCUCAUUCAGUCUUAUCAGAAAAAUUCAAGCCUUUGUAUUAUGAUUUUGCUUCGGGAUCUCAGGGAUCUACUUCUGAUCCUAAUCCUCCUAUUCUUAAGCAUCCUUCCUCCCCUGUUGUGGAAGAAGGAAAUAUUUCUGGUUCUCUACCUUUGGUGGAAGAACCCAUCCCCUUAGACUUCUCUACUUUUGAUACUAACCCCUUAUCUGUUCAUAAGAGUAUUUGUGAUUUGCAGGCUAGGUGCAGGACCCUUGAAAAAAAGCUAGAAAUAGCUAAUUUUCACAAAAAAGAUAUAAGCCAAGCCCCUUUUUCCCCACUGGAAAUUGGUGAGAAAAAACCAUUCACCCCACUGGUGAAUGAGAAAUUAAGUAAGGAUGAGCAGGAGUGCAUUAUCUUUAGAAUGUUUCACCGAAUGAAUGAGAUCAUGUCCACUCUUAAGCCAAAUGAUAUUUAUCAGCUAAUUUGUGAAAAAGCCAAGUCCAGUGCAGAAGAAAAGCAAGUUUUUAUUUCGGCUUAUCUUCAGGAUCUGCACAUUUAUCUCUCAGCCAUUCCUGGUCUCAGUGUUCCAGGAUUAAAUUUAACCAAGGAAAUGGAAUUUGAUGGCUCAAAACUUUGCAGAAAUUGUACUGAAUCGCUUCUUCAUCAACAAGACAACAAGCCAAUUUGCAACUGCAAUAGGAAUUUCACUAUCAGCAGAGCCUGCAUUGAUCUACAGUAUUACCAACCAAUUAACCUUGCUUUCAAAGGAGAAGUUUUAAUCCUAACUCCUGAAAUGCUUCUUGAUUAUGGAUUGGUUUACCAACUUAUCUGUUCUGAUCCAAGUCAAGCUAGCAAUUUUGGCAGAAAGGUUAAUCUAAGCUUAACCCAAGGUUUUAAGUUAAACAAGAAGUUUGCUGAUGCCAUUUUUAUUAGCAAAGCUCCUGAAUGGAUUUCUAGAGGCAACGUUCUUCCAGCACAACACUAUGUUAAUCUUCAUUACCAGAAUAGAAGACCUACUCUUCUGUCCAGUCCCUUAGUUCAAACCGACAUUUGCGGAGAGCCAAUUAUUAAGCAAAUCAAGCAUUGGAGAGCCAGAGUCAUCAGCAGAGACUUUGAAGCCUACCCAAAAAACAUGGGGCAUCUCAUUGCUGCGGAUUCCCUACAUCAGAUUUUUUGCAGUAAAAAGAUUGACCCUUUACCGUUCAAAUCCACUAUUCAAGAUACUCAGCUCCUAAUGGAUCACCGCUCGGAAUAUAUUCCUCCCUGAUUAACUGAUCAGCAGUCAUUUCAGCCGAAAGCAAGCCUCCAGGUCAAAAGUCGAAAGUGCUACAGUUCCCUCUUACUGUUCACUUUUACUAUUCAAGCACUAUUCAAGCACGGGUCUAUUGUUCAUGGUUACUAUUCAAGAUUCCUUUUUUGCCUAUUUAAGGAGGCAAGGUCCUCAUUUGUAAGAACACUUGAAUUUUCUCUCCUAAGCUGAAGCUCUCCCUUCUCUCUUCUUUCCCUCUCAUCAUGUAAACCCUUCAAGCUUUCAAGCUUUCUUCAAGCUUUCAAGCUUUCUUCAAGCUUUCCUACCCUUGUCCAUUGUAAGAUAUUUCUCCUUAUGUAUAAUAUAAGUAUGUUUUGAUUGCCUCCUCUAUGGAUGGUUUUUAAUUAUGUUUUGUUUUUCAUUUUAUUUUAUGUUCUUAUACCGCCUACAUGGUCGGUUUUAAUUAAUUUUUAUUUUUAAGUUUAUGUUUUUUAUUUUGUACCGCCUACAAGGUCGGUUUUAAGCUUAUUAUGAACUAACAAGUUUUUGGUUCCUUCUCUUUAAAUUUCUUGUUGGAUAUCUUGUUUGAUUUCUAACCCUCUACUUUGUUUUGAAUCAUGGCAUAAUUCAUUUGUUCAUUGCACAUGACCUUGUCCUGGGUGUCUAUGGUAUCAGAGCCAUGUGGGAGGGAAGUUGGGUCUUGUUUUGGGUGUUCUUGGCCUAUCCUAGGAUAGGUAGCAGUGUGUCUGGGAGCGCGAGCCCUGCCGGUUGAGCCGUUGUUAGCCGUGGAUAGGCGUUUGUUAGGCUGUAAGAGGGUUGGGGUGACGUCUCAUAAGGUUUGUCAAUCUGCUAUUAGGCUCUAGUUCAAAAACCCUAAAAUGAGUUCAAUUUUCCGAACCAUGUCUAGGAGAUUCAGUGAUUCUCAAGAUACUGUUGUAAACAGUGAAGAGAUCAAUUAUCCUAAGAUCCAAAAUGAUUUAGAUGAUUGGAAGUUACCCAAGGUGUCUAAUCAAGAAAUUUAUAAGAAAGGAACCUUUAAGUUCUUCACAGAUUAUACCAUUAAGACCUCUGAAAUGUCAGUCAGCUUAGAACAAGACGACCAAGUCAUAAGACUUCUAGAUAACAGAUCCAUUGAUAAGCAUAAGAAAGAUGGCUAUAAUUUCAUACACUUUGGUAUGAUUCAAGUAGCAGCUAAGCCUUUGACAAGAUUAGGUUUAAACACCUCUAUUGUCAUGUGUUUAAGGGAUAAUAGGCAUCUCGAAUAUCGAGAUUCUAUUAUAGGCGCAGUCCAAGCUGGACUGAAUGAUGGCCCAGUCUAUUUCCAGUGCUAUCCUAACUUCACAGUUAGAAUAAGAGAUGCAGACAUCUUAGUCCGUUGUCCUGCAUUUUAAGACCCAUGGCUUUAAGAUCAAACCAGGAAACAAUCCUGUUUCUAUCAUAACCAGGUUUGCCUAUAAGAGCAUGAACACAAGCGUUGGAUCUGGGCUCUUUGUACCAGUCCUGAAGGUGAGACCACCUAUUUUCACUCAGAUAAGCUAGAUAAGUCAGAACUCAUCAUCCCCAAGAAGAUCUUGUGGAAAGAUGUUGAUUUCCCUGAAAAUUGGCAUUUUGCUAAUGCUGUUCCAGCCAUAGCACAACGUUCUGAAAGUAUUGAACAAAUAGUUCAAUAUCCAGAUGGAGAAGGAGAACUGGUCUUCUCCAAAUCUUUCAGACAUUCCAGUAGCCCUAGAGUUUCAGUUUAUGAACCCUCUAGAGCUUCAAGUUCUUCCAUUCCAGUUAGAACCACUAGGGAAGAAGAAGGAUCCAGCUCAGGAAAUCCUAAGAACAUUAAGCUAACAGGUGUUAGAAGUCACACCAACGUGGCUAGAUCAUUUUACAGUGAAGAAAAUGAGUCUACUCAGGAAUCCCAACAGGAUGAGUCCCCUGUUAUUUCUCCUACCUAUUCCCAGAUGAUUAACACAAUAAGCCUAAGUGAUGAGGACUUUGAGAUCAACAAGGAUCUCUUAAGAAAGGACUUCUAUUCUGAAGUCAAUAAGCAAAGAAAUGAUUGGUUCUUUAGCACUAUCCCUAAAUUCAUUAGAACCAUUUACCAAGAAGAAUUCUAUGCCUACUUAACACAAGAAAAGAAAAAUAUUAAGUUUUGGAUCUGGUUUGAACUCUUCAAACAAGAGGAAUAUCCAGAUUAUCCCUUUAAGCGUAUUAACAACACUAAGAGCACUGAUAAAACUAAGUCCUUUGAAUUUUCUAAGGAAUUCGAGGAAAAUCCCCAAAUCAACUAGGCUUUUGCUGAUAGGAUUAAUCAGAAGAUUAAGGAUAAUCUUGUUGCCCCUUUGACUGUUCAGCCUGAUAAGAGAAUUAAUAUGGUUAAAGGUGAUAUUAGUUCAGAAGAAGAAGCUGAUGAAUUAAUUAAGAUGUUUGAGGAACCCCACAAUCAAAUUAUUAACAACUUAGAAGCCUUUAAGACUAGGAAUUACUAUCCUAGGCCUACUUUUCCUGACAUGCAGUUUGAGGAAAGAAAUCAAUAUACUCAAGCCUCAUACACCAGUGGUACUAUCUAUGAAUGGAACAUAGACGGUAUCACCGAGUAUAACAUACUCACUAAGCUUCAAGAAAUGACCAUGGUUAGUACAGCCUAUAAAUUAAACAAUAGACUGCCAGAUCAUGCUGUAGCUCAGACCAUUGUUGUUGGGUUUACAGGUCAGCUUAAGGGUUGGUGGGAUAAUUAUCUCACUUUUGAUGAUAAGAAUAGUAUCCUUAAAGCCUAUAGGAUUAAUGAGAGUAAUGAAGUGGUUAAUGACGAAGAUGGCCAAGAUAUUGAGGAUGCAGUGGCUACUUUAAUCUACUCAAUAUCCAAGCACUUCAUUGGAGAUCCUGCAAAAAUUAAGGAUAAAACUGCAGAUCUCUUAACCAACCUUAAGUGUCCCAAGCUUCAUGAUUUUUGGUGGUAUAAGGAAGUCUUCCUAACCAAAGUCAUGCUAAGGUCAGAUUGUAACCAGUCUUUUUGGAAAGAAAAAUUCAUCUCAGGUUUACCCAAGCUUUUCUCUGAGAGAAUUAGGAUCAAGAUAAGGGAACAGUAUAACGGUCAAAUCCCUUAUGAUAAGCUAACCUAUGGUGAGAUUAUAAGCAUUGUCACAACUGAAGGGAUUAAGUUGUGAAAUGACUUCAAGCUUAAGCAACAAAUGAAGAAUGAACAAAAAAUCUACAAGAAUGAAUUUGGAUCAUUCUGUAGCCAGUUUGGUUUCAGCCAAAAAGAAACUAUGCCUCCUUCUAAGCAAAAACCAAGUAGGAAGCCUAGCAAAGAUAAAUUUUACCACAGUAAGAGAGGUACCCAUGACAACUAUAGGAUGAAUGAUACUAAGCAUUCAAGGCACGUCCAAAGAAAGGUCAACAAAGAUACCCAGAAAAAGAUAGAAACUCCUUUAGAAGUCAAGCCAAUUAUCUGUUUUAAAUAUGGCAAAGUUGGCCAUUAUAAGAAAGAUUUUAGAGUUAAGCAAAAGUUUAAUAACCUAAGUGUCUUAGAUGACCUAAAAAAUAUGCUUUGUAAGGUAUUGUUAAACUCCUCAGAUUCUGAAUCAAGGACUGAUCCAAAUAAUGAAGAUGAUAUUAAUCAACUAGAUAGUAGUGGCGAUGUUUCUAGCCAAUCUUCUAGUGACCAAGAUGUUUGUAUUAAGGGUAAUUGUAAUUGCCGUCCUAAAACCAUAAAUGUCAUAAGCCAAGAUCAGGAGUUCAUCCUAGAUACUUUAAGAAAAGUUGAAGAUGAAAAGACUAAGCAAAAUCUUUAUGAAGUUUUUAAGAAAUCUGUUGUUAAGGUAGAAGCCAAGAAGACUGUUAAUCCUUAUAACCUUAAUGAUAUCUUAAACAGGUUUGACCAACAGUCUCCCAAGGAAGUCAGCAUUAAGGAACUUCAUGAAGAAGUUAAGCAGCAUAAAAAAGAGAUUAAGGAGUUAAGACAAUUCAUAAGUCUAGGUCUCUCUGAUCUUCAAGAUCAAAUCAAUAGAAUUGGCAACCAAGAAAUCCAUAUGGAUAUUCCAGAAUCUUCUCAUGUUAAUGAUAAUGAGAUAGAUACUUUUUUGAAUACUGUGAGUAGGGUUAUCUUCCAGAGGUGGGAAGUCUCCCUUACUAUAGUAGUCAAAGAUAAAUUUGUCUUUGAUAUUAUUGCUUUGAUUGAUUCAGGAGCAGCUGAAAAUUGCCUUCAAGAAGGUCUUGUACCUAUUCCUUUAUGCGAAUAGACAAGUCAGUCUCUAUUUGGAGCCAAUGGCAAAAGACUUGCCAUUAAGUAUAAAUUAACAGAUGUUCAUAUCCGUAACCAUGACGUCUGUAUUAAGCAAACCUUUAUCCUUGUUAAGGAUCUUAAUGAAAAAGCCCUUCUAGGAAUACCCUUCUUAAGCUCUAUUUAUCCCUUGUGGGUAGAUAACCAAGGUAUAAGAACAAAACUUUUUGAUAAGGAAAUUCAUUUUGAAUUUGCUAAUCCAACUGUAAGCAUCACACCUUGUAAUCAAGAAAUUAAUCUUGUUAGAAUAGAUGAUCCACCUAAGAUAUUUGGUACCCAAUUCAUUCAUAAUCUCAUUAUAAAUGAUAUUUUCAGCAUUCUUUAUGCAUUUCAAAAUUUCAAACUGAUAUUUUGAACCAAGGAAUUUUAAAAGUGGUUUUCACAGCUGAGAAAACAAUUAAGUAUAUAGCUUUUAAGUAUAAUUUAAUUGAUUGGAUUAUUUUAAACCCUAAUUUUCAAAUUAAGCUUAUUAAAGGAGAAAGUUCCAUUCCUAAUCUCUCAACUCAUGGAAUUUGCAGGAUUCACGAGACCAUGGCCCCCAAGAAAGACAAACAACCUUUUAGGUCCAUUAAACCUACAGAUUCUAAGAAUUCUCAUUUAGUUCUUUCUGAAAAAUUCAUGCCACUUCAUUAUGGCCAUUUUGAAGUAGCAGGUUCUUCCAGCCACUUUAAUCAUCACAUUCCUUCAGCAUCCCCUAAUAGGGAUAUAGAUUCAAGCUUGGAAUCUCUACCUUUUGUGGAAGAUUCCUUCCCCAUAAAUCCAUCUUUUAGUAAUACUAACACUUUAUCUGAUUAUAUCAAUUGCAUUUUUGAAUGGCAGGGAAGGUAUGAGACCCUUGAAAGGAAACUUGAAUUAGUUGACUUUCAUAAGCUCAGGUUAAAAGCUCAAGCCUCAUUUUCCCCACUCGAAAAUGGUGAGAAUAAGCAUUCUACCCCACUGGUGAAUGAUAAAUUGAGUGAGGAAGAGUUGGGUUACCGUAUGCUAAGAAUGUAUCAUCAUAAGACAGAGAAUCUAUACUCUCUUAAGCCAGAACUACGUCUCCUAAUUUUGGAAAAGGCUAAGUCCUUAGCAGAAGAAAAACAGAUCUUCAUCUCUUCAUACCUCCAAGAUCUUCAUCUCUAUCUUUCUACCAAUAUUGGUCUUAAGGUCCUAGGUUUAAGCUUGGUUACUGAGAAGGAAGUUGAUGAUUCAAAAAUUUGCAGAAUAAUUGAAGAACCUUUCCAGUACCAAAAAGGCACCAAGAAGUUGAUUUGCAACUGCAACAGAAAUUUCACAAUCAGUCGUGUUUGCUUGGACUUGCAAUACUAUUCACCAAUCAGCAUCAAAUUCAAGGGUGAAGAUUUAUUAUUAACUCCAGAAAAGCUUCUGGACCAUGGUCUAGUCCAUCAAAUCAUCUGUACUGAUCCCAACCAAGUUUCCCAGUUUGGAAGAAAAAUUGCUCUUGGCCUAACCCAAGGAUUUAAAAUAAAUAAGAAAUUCGCGGAAGCCAUCAUCAUCAGCAAAGCUCCUGAGUGGGUUUCUAGUGGCAAGCUUAUUCCAGCUCAACACAUUGUUGCUCUUCACUAUCAGAAUAGGAGACCUACUCGGCUGUCUUACCCUCUGUUAUUUUAUGAUAUUUGUGCUGAAUCCAUUAUUAAACAAAUCAAACACUGGAGAGCCAUAAUUAUUUGCAGGGAUUUUGAGGCUUUUCCAAGAAAUAUGGGACAUCUUAUUGCUGCAGAUUCUUGUCAUCAAAUUUUCUGUGGCAAGAAGUUACACCCUCUUCCAACCAUGGCUAGUACUGAAGAUAUUAAGCUUCUUGAAGAUCAUCGUAAGGAUUUCUCAUGAUGACCGGUCAACAAGAAUAUUUUACAAGCUUUGCAGUUUCUGUACCAAAAGCAGCAAGCAUGCGUCUACACAGUAUAAAGCAGCCUGCCAGAAGUCUUCUCAGCCGAAAAAGGGUUUUUGGGGGAUUUCGGUAUAAAAGUGAAUCUUACUAUUCACUAUUCACUAUUCACUAUUCAAGCACAGGUCUACUGUUCAUGGUUACUAUUCAAGAUUCCUUUUUUGCCUAUUUAAGGAGGCAAGGUCCUCAUUUGUAAGAACACUUAAAUUUUCUCUCCUAAGCUUAUGCUCUCCCUUCUCUCUUCUUCUCUCUCAUCAUGUAAGCCCUUCAAGCUUUCAAACUUUCUUCAAGCUUUCCUACUCUUGUCCAUUGUAAGAUAUUUCUCCUUAUGUAUAAUAUAAGUAUGUUUUGAUUACCUCCUAUAUGGAUGGUUUUGUUUUUAUUUUAUGUUUUUAUGCCUCCUACAUGGAUGGUUUUAAUUAAGUUUUGUUUUUCAUUUUAUUUUAUGUUCUUGUACUGCCUACAUGGUCGGUUUUAAUUAAGCUUUGUUUUUAAGUUUAUGUUUUUCAUUUUAUACCGCCUACAUGGUCGGUUUUAAGCUUAUUAUGAACUAACAAGUUUUUGGUUCCUUUUCUUUAAAUUUCUUUGUUGGAUAUCUUUUGUAUUUUCUAACCCUCUUCUUUGUUUUGAAUCAUGGCAUAAUUCCUGUUUUCAUUGCAUAUGACCUUGUCCUGGGUGUCUAUGGUAUAAGAGCCAUGUGGGAGGGAAGUUGAGUCUUGUUUUGGGUGUUCUUGGCCUAUCCUAUGAUAGGUAGCAGUGUGCCUGGGAGCGCGAGCCCUGCCAGUUGAGCAGUUGUUAGCCGUGGAUAGGCGUUUGUUAGGCUGUAAGAGGGUUGAGGUGACGUCUCAUAAGGUCUGUCAAUCUACUAUUAAGCUCUAGUUCAAAAACCCUAAAAUGAGUUCAAUUUUCCGAACCAUGUCUAGGAGAUCCAGUGAUUCUCAAGAUACUGUUGUAAACAGUAAAGAGAUCAAUUAUCCUAAGAUCCAAAAUGAUUUAGAUGAUUGGAAGUUACCCAAGGUGUCUAAUCAAGAAAUUUAUAAGAAAAGAACCUUUAAGUUCUUCACAGAUUAUACCAUCAAGACCUCUGAAAUGUCAGUCAGCUUAGAACAAGACGACCAAGUCAUAAGACUUCUAGAUAACAGAUCCAUUGAUAAGCAUAAGAAAGAUGGCUAUAAUUUCAUACACUUUGGUAUGAUUCAAGUAGCAGCUAAGCCUUUGACAAGAUUAGGUUUAAACACCUCUAUUGUCAUGUGUUUAAGGGAUAAUAGGCAUCUCGAAUAUCGAGAUUCUAUUAUAGGCGCAGUCCAAGCUGGACUGAAUGAUGGCCCAGUCUAUUUCCAGUGCUAUCCUAACUUCACAGUUAGAAUAAGAGAUGCAGACAUCUUAGUCCGUUGUCCUGCAUAUUAAGACUCAUGGCUUUAAGAUCAAACCAGGAAACAGUCUUGUUUCUAUCAUAACCAGGUUUGCCUAUAAGAGCAUGAACACAAGCGUUGGAUCUGGGACUCUUUGCACCAGUCCUAAGGGUGAAAUCACUUACUUUCACUCAGAUAUGCUAGAUAAGUCAGACUUCAUCAUCCCCAAGAAGAUUUUGUGGAAAGAUGUUGAUUUCCCUGAAAAUUGGCAUUUUGCUAAUGCUGUUCCAGCCAUAGCACAGCGUUCUGAAAGUAUUGAACAAAUAGUUCAAUAUCCAGAUGGAGGAGGAGAACUGGUCUUCUCCAAAUCUUUCAGACAUUCCAGUAGCCCUAGAGUUUCAGUUUAUGAACCCUCUAGAGCUUCAAGUUCUUCCAUUCCAGUUAGAACCACUAGGGAAGAAGAAGGAUCCAGCUCAGGAAAUCCUAAGAACAUUAAGCUAACAGGUGUUAGAAGUCACACCAACGUGGCUAGACCAUUUUACAGUGAAGAAAAUGAGUCUACUCAGGAAUCCCAACAGGAUGAGUCCCCUGUUAUGUCUCCUACCUAUUCCCAGAUGAUUAACACAAUAAGCCUAAGUGAUGAGGACUUUGAGAUCAACAAGGAUCUCUUAAGAAAGGACUUCUAUUCUGAAGUCAAUAAGCAAAGAAAUGAUUGGUUCUUUAGCACUAUCCCUAAAGUCAUUAGAACCAUUUACCAAGAAGAAUUUUAUGCCUACUUAAGACAAGAAAAGAAAAAUAUUAAGUUUUGGAUCUGGUUUGAACUCUUCAAACAAGAGGAAUAUCCAGAUUAUCCCUUUAAGCGUAUAAAGGUUACCAGUAGUAAUAAUGAAAAAAAGUGAUAUGAAUUCUCUAAGGAAUUCCAAGAAAAUCCCCAAGUCAACCAAGCUUUUGUCGAUAGGAUUAAUCAGAAAAUUAAGGAUAAUCUUGUUACUCCUUUGACUGUUCAGCCUGAUAAGAGAAUCAAUAUGGUUAAAGGUGAUAUUAGUUCAGAAGAAGAAGCUGAUGAACUAAUUAAGAUGUUUGAGGAACCCCAUAAUCAAAUUAUUAACAACUUGGAAGCCUUUAAGACUAGGAAUUACUAUCCUAUGCCUACUUUUCCUGACAUGCAGUUUGAGGAAAGAAAUCAGUAUACCCAAUCCUCAUACACCAGUGGUACUAUCUAUGAAUGGAACAUAGACGGUAUGACCGAGUAUAACAUACUCACUAAGCUUCAAGAAAUGACCAUGGUAAGUACAGCCUAUAAGUUAAACAAUAGACUGCCAGAUCAUGCUGUAGCUCAGACCAUUGUUGCUGGGUUUACAGGUCAGCUUAAGGGUUGGUGGGAUAAUUAUCUCACUUUUGAUGAUAGGAAUAGUAUCCUUAAAGCCUAUAGGAUUAAUGAGAGUAAUGAAGUUGUUAAGGACGAAGAUGGCCAAGAUAUUGAGGAUGCAGUGGCUACUUUAAUCUACUCAAUAUCCAAGCACUUCAUCGGAGAUCCUGCAAAAAUUAAGGAUAAAACUGCAGAUCUCUUAACCAACCUUAAGUGUCCCAAGCUUCAUGAUUUUUGGUGGUAUAAGUCUUCCUAACCAAAGUCAUGCUAAGGUCAGAUUGUAACCAGUCUUUUUGGAAAGAAAAAUUCAUCUCAGGUUUACCCAAGCUUUUCUCUGAGAGAAUUAGGAUCAAGAUAAGGGAACAGUAUAACGGUCAAAUCCCUUAUGAUAAGCUAACCUAUGGUGAGAUUAUAAGCAUUGUCACAGCUGAAGGGAUUAAGUUGUGUAAUGACUUCAAGCUUAAGCAACAGAUGAAGAAUGAACAAAAAAUCUACAAGAAUGAAUUUGGAUCAUUCUGUAGCCAGUUUGGUUUCAGCCAAAAGGAAACUAUGCCUCCCUCUAAGAAAAAACCAAGCAGGAAGCCUAGCAAAGAUAAGUUUUACCACAGUAAGAGAGGUACCUAUGACAACUAUAGGAUGAAUGAUACUAAGCAGUCAAGGCACGUCCAAAGAAGGAUCAACAAAGAUACCCAGAAAAAGGUAGAAACUCCUUUAGAUGUCAAGCCAAUUACCUGUUUUAAAUGUGGCAAAGUUGGCCAUUAUAAAAAAGAUUGUAGAGUUAAGCAAAAGAUUAAUAAUUAAGUGUCUCAGAUGACCUAAAGAAUAUGCUUUGUAAGGUAAUGUUAAACUCAGAUUCUGAAUCAGGGACUGAUUCAGAUAAUGAAGAUGACAUUAAUCAACUAGACAGUAGUGGUGAAGUUUCCAGCCAAUCUUCUAGUGACCAAGAUGUUUGUAUUAAGGGUAAUUGUAAUUGCCGUCCUAAAACUAUAAAUGUCAUACGCCAAGAUCAGGAGUUUAUCCUAGAUACUUUAAGAAAAGUUGAAGAUGAAAAGACUAAGCAAAAUCUUUAUGAAGUUUUUAAGAAAUCUGUUGUUAAAGUAGAAGACAAGAAGACUGUUAAUCCUUAUAACCUUAAUGAUAUCUUAAACAUGUUUGACCAACAGUCUCCCAAGGAAGUCAGCAUUAAGGAACUUCAUGAAGAAGUUAAGCAGCAUAAAAAGGAGAUUAAGGAGUUAAGACAAUUCAUAAGUCUAGGUCUCUCUGAUCUCCAAGAUCAAAUCAAUAGAAUUGGCAACCAAGAAAUCCAUAUGGAUAUUCCAGAAUCUUCUCAUGUUAAUGAUAAUGAGACAGAUAUUUUUUUUGAAUACUGUGAGUAGGGUUAUCUUCCAGAGGUGGGAAGUCUCCCUUACUAUAGUAGUCAAAGAUAAAUUUGUCUUUAAUAUUAUUGCUUUGAUUGAUUCAGGAGCAGCUGAAAAUUGCCUUCAAGAAAGUCUUGUACCUAUUCCUAUAUGCGAAGAGACUAGUCAGUCUCUAUUUGGAGCCAAUGGCAAGAGACUUUCCAUUAAGUAUAAAUUAACAGAUGUUAAUAUCCGUAACCAUGACGUCUGUAUUAAGCAAACCUUUAUCCUUGUUAAGGAUCUUAAUGAAAAAGCCCUUCUAGGAAUACCCUUCUUAAGCUCUAUUUAUCCCUUGUGGGUAGAUAACCAAGGUAUAAGAACAAAGCUUUUUGAUAAGGAAAUUCAUUUUGAAUUUGCUAAUCCAACUGUAAGCAUCACACCUUGUAACCAAGAAAUUAAUCUUGUUAGAAUAGAUGACCCACCUAAGAUAUUUGGUACCCAAUUCACUCAUAAUCUCAUUAUAAAUGAUAUUUUCAGCAUUCCUUUAUGCAUUUCAAAAUUUCAAACUGAUAUUUUGAACCAAGGAAUUUUAAAAGUUGUUUUCACAACUGAGAAAACAAUUAAGUAUAUAGCUUUUAAGUAUAAUUUAACUGAUUGGAUUAUUUUAAACCCUAAUUUUCAAAUUAAGCUUAUUAAAGGAGAAAGUUCCAUUCCUAAUCUCUCAACUCAUGGAAUUUGCAGGAUUCACGAGACCAUGGCCCCCAAGAAAGACAAACAACCUUUUAGGUCCAUUAAACCUACAGAUUCUAAGAAUUCUCAUUUAGUUCUUUCUGAAAAAUUCAUGCCACUUCAUUAUGGCCAUUUUGAAGUAGCAGGUUCUUCCAGCCACUUUAAUCAUCACAUUCCUUCAGCAUCCCCUAGUAGGGAUAUAGAUUCAAGCUCGGAAUCUCUACCUUUUGUGGAAGAUUCCUUCCCCAUAAAUCCAUCUUUUAGUAAUACUAACACUUUAUCUGAUUAUAUCAAUUGCAUUUUUGAAUGGCAGGGAAGGUAUGAGACCCUUGAAAGGAAACUUGAAUUAGUUGACUUUCAUAAGCUCAGGUUAAAAGCUCAAGCCUCAUUUUCCCCACUCGAAAAUGGUGAGAAUAAGCAUUCUACCCCACUGGUGAAUGAUAAAUUGAGUGAGGAAGAGUUGGGUUACCGUAUGCUAAGAAUGUAUCAUCAUAAGACAGAGAAUCUAUACUCUCUUAAGCCAGAACUACGUCUCCUAAUUUUGAAAAAGGCUAAGUCCUCAGCAGAAGAAAAACAGAUCUUCAUCGCUUCAUACCUCCAAGAUCUUCAUCUCUAUCUUUCUACCAAUAUUGGUCUUAAGGUCCCAGGUUUAAGCUUGGUUACUGAGAAGGAAGUUGAUGAUUCAAAAAUUUGCAGAAUAAUUGAAGAACCUUUCCAGUACCAAAAAGGCAUCAAGAAGUUGAUUUGCAACUGCAACAGAAAUUUCACAAUCAGUCGUGUUUGCUUGGACUUGCAAUACUAUUCACCAAUUAGCAUCAAAUUCAAGGGUGAAGAUUUAUUAUUAACUCCAGAAAAGCUUUUGGACCAUGGUCUAGUCCAUCAAAUCAUCUGUUCUGAUCCCAACCAAGUUUCCCAGUUUGGAAGAAAAAUUGCUCUUGGCCUAACCCAAGGAUUUAAAAUAAAUAAGAAAUUCGCGGAAGCCAUCAUCAUCAGCAAAGCUUCUGAGUGGGUUUCUAGUGGCAAGCUUAUUCCAGCUCAGCACAUUGUUUCUCUUCACUAUCAGAAUAGGAGACCUACUCGACUGUCUUAUCCUCUGUUAUUUUCUGAUAUUUGUGCUGAAUCCAUUAUUAAGCAAAUCAAACACUGGAGAGCCAGAAUUAUUUGCAGGGAUUUUGAGGCUUUUCCAAGAAAUAUGGGACAUCUUAUUGCUGCAGAUUCUUGUCAUCUAAUUUUCUGUGGCAAGAAGUUACACCCUCUUCCAACCAUGGCUAGUAUUGAAGAUAUUAAGCUUCUUGAAGAUCAUCGUAAGGAUUUCUCAUGAUGACUGGUUAACAAGAAUAUUUUACAAGCUUUGCAGUUUCUGUACCAAAAGCAACAAGCAUGCGUCUACACAGUAUAAAGCAGCCUGCCAAAAGUCUUCUCAGCCGAAAAAGGGUUUUUGGGGGAUUUUCGGUAUAAAAGUGAAUCUUACUAUUCAUUAUUCACUAUUCACUAUUCAAGCACGGGUCUACUGUUCAUGGUUACUAUUCAAGAUUCCUUUUUUGCCUAUUUAAGGAGGUAAGGUCCUCAUUUGUAAGGACACUUGAAUUUUCUCUCCUAAGCUGAAGCUCUCCCUUCUCUCUUCUUUCUCUCUCAUCAUGUAAACUCUUCAAGCUUUCAAGCUUUCUUCAAGCUUUCCUACCCCUGUCCAUUGUAAGAUAUUUCUCCUUAUGUAUAAUAUAAGUAUGUUUUGAUUACCUCCUAUAUGGAUGGUUUUUAAUUAUGUUUUGUUUUUCAUUUUAUUUUAUGUUCUUAUACCGCCUAUAUGGUCGGUUUUAAUUAAUUUUUAUUUUUAAGUUUAUGUUUUUUAUUUUGUACCGCCUACAUGGUCGGUUUUAAGCUUAUUAUGAACUAACAAGUUUUUGGUUCCUUCUCUUUAAAUUUCUUGUUGGAUAUCUUAUUUGAUUUCUAACCCUCUUCUUUGUUUUGAAUCAUGGCAUAAUUCAUUUGUUCAUUGCACAUGACCUUGUCCUGGGUGUCUAAUAUAUAUAUAUAUAUAUAUAUAUAUAUAUAUAUAUAUAUAUAUAUACUUACUUUUGUAUAAGAAUUUUUAUAUUUUAUUCUAUUUUAUAAAUAAAGAUGAAAAAUGUAUCCAAACAUAUGCUAACUAAUUCUCUUUAAAAAUGCUUCUAAUGAAAAUAUGCUAACAAAUAAACUGCAAAUAAAAAUACUUUAAGCAAAUUCACUAUCAAGGGAGUCUAAGUUAUAAUAAAUAUUUUCAUCAAGAUUUAAAAGAAAUAAGGAAUUAAGGAAGAAGCUUCAAAAUGAUUUUAAUUUAAACUCAUUUCAUUUGUAAUCUUGCAAUCUCAUGCCCUAAAUGUUCCCAUUCAUCAAUUUUAUUGAUAAAAUUUUAUUAGAAUUAAUAAUUAUUAAAAAAAAUUAAAUUCAAAACCUUUUUAAAAAACCCCACUGUUUAUAUUGUAAUUUGGGUAGUCAUUUCUAAUAUAGAAGAUAUUAUCAACAUUUUAUUUAUUAUUUAUUUUCAUUUUGGUAAAAUUCUAGAAUUACGUGAAUUUUUCUUCUUAGAAUAAGAAAGAUAUAAUAAAGAAAAUGAGGGAAAGCUGAUACGCUAAAUGGAAAUAUGUGCAAUCAAUUUACAUAAAAUUAAAAUUCUGAUUAUUUUCAUUUUUAUUGUUUUUAUUUAAUCAAAAUGACAAUAAGCGGAAUGAAAAAAAAGAAAGGUGAGAAUUAAAAAUUCUUCGUGGAAAAUGCUAGCUGGUUGUACUAAUAAAGGUGAUGGUGAUGAUGAGUAGGGGGCAAUCAUUAUGUUUUCUUAUCAGAUGAGUGAUGAUCCCAAUCAGAAGGCUGACCACUUUAUUAGUGGUGAUGGUGAUAGUUUUCCACAUAUAUCAUCAUCUGUCUUGUGCAUGAUUAAAUUUUGUGGCUUAAAAAUGAGGAUUACCUAUUUACCCCUUUAGGUAGUUUUCAAGAAUUAAGAUAAAAACUUUUAAAACCAUAUCAAGUUUCAUGGUAAAAUAUCAUCAACCCCGACUUAAAUUUUAUCAAAAUAAAAAUUAUUUUUAAGUAAUAUAAAAUAGAAUAACUUUAAUAAAGGUGAUAGUGAAGAUGAUGGUGGGUACACUAAAGGUAUAAAAUUGACGACUUUUAAAGGAUUUAAGAUCUUAGAUAAGGAAAACUAUACAUCAUAUAUCAUUAUAAUUGGAUCUUUAUUCUUAUAUUUAGAUAAGAUACUUUGAUUAAAGAAAUUUAUAGUUAUGAAAAAAAAUAAAUUUUGUAACUUAAAAAUAUAAAUUACCUAUUUACUCCCUCCAAAUGGUUUCAAGAAUUAAUAAAAUCUUUUAAAAACUAUAUAGAAUUUCAUGAUAAAAUAUCAACUCUCAAGAAUGUCAAAAUACUUAAAAUUUUAUCAAAAUAAAAAUUAAUUUUCAUUAAUACAAAACAAAAAUAAACUUUUUUUUUUUUGGAUAGAAAGUGAUAAUUAAAAGAUUUUCAAUUGAAAAUAUUAUACAACGGAUGUUGAUAGAAUGUUAGCUAACAUGUUUAUGUAGGAUUUAAUUUGUGAAAAAUGGAUAAAAAUCAAUUGGCUUAUUGAUGGGACAAUUAAAAGUGUAUUCGAUAGUGAUUUUAUAAAACGUUUUUAUUCUUAAAAGUAUUUUUUUAAAAAAAAAUUAAGUUUAAAAAAACACUCUUAAAAAUAUGAAAAAUCACUUAUAAUUGAGAAAAAAACUUUUAUAAUAUUUUUCAAAAAAAUACUUAAUAGAUGAUUAUCUUAAAAACACUUUUUGAUACAAUAUUUCCGUACCGAACACAUUUCUAAUAUUGCAAAAAAAUUGUCAAUAUAUAUCAUUGAUGGACAUAGUCACAAUAAUUACAUUUCCCACAAAUUUUCUAGAAACCAAGCAUAUUAAUGGGAAUUACAAGUCGCUUGGAAUCAAAUUAAGUUACAUCUGAGGGGCAAUAAGGGAACAUGAAGCACCGUCUUCAACGAGAUGUUGAAGCCAAUACCUAUACCUUCUAAACCAACUCCUCUCUUUUGCUUCAUUCAUCAUCCCAAAGUUCUCCACAGCAUUGUUUAGGAUAUUAUGAUAUAUUUUAGGAAAGUAGUUGUUAUUGUUUAGGAUUGUUUCCUAAACUCACAGUUUUUCCUUAAUUAGGUUUGCUUGAUGUACUAUAUAUUUAGGUGGAUGAAUAUCAAUUAGGGUCAAGCUCUGACCCUUUAAUCACACUUUUCACAAUACCUAUACCUUCUAAACCAACUCCUCUCUUCUGCUUGAUUCAUCAUCCCAAAGCUCUCCACGCUCAUCAUUUCCCUCAAAACUAGUUAUUAAUCCUCUUUGACAAAACCAUGGGCAACAUUUUCUCCGUCGAAAUCUCCGUUAACCACGCUAUCUCUAGUUGCUGGAAUCGCACUACUGAACAUGCAAAUUACCUGUGCAAACUCCCAGAAAAUCUGGUAGCUCUGGGAACUGCUUGUAAAAGAUUGGGGGAGUUCAGGAACGAUGUGAUGAGGAGGGUGGAUAUCGCUGAGAGGGAACAAAUGCAGCGGCUCGACCAAGUUCAAGGGUGGCUUUCAAGGG